rnacentral:lncRNA from 1 species
UCGUAGUAGACGCCGACGCGGUCGUUGGUGUUGCGCGCCGCCACCGUGGCCUGCAUGGUGGUGAAGAGGUAGGCGGAGGUGGGCGGGGUGACGUUGAGGCAGAGCACCGCCAGGUCCUGCAGGUAGAAGGUGGGCUUGUGGGGGCGGAGCACCAGGUAGACGAUGAGGAUGAUGAAGAGGGCGAGGAGGACGAGGGCGAGCAGCGCGCCGCAGCACUUGCGGUAGAGCCGGCGGCGGUGGCACUCGCAGCCGCCCUUGUGCCCGCCGCAGUCCUUCACCGCCAUGGAUUAUGGAUAUGGAUGGUGGUCGAGGGGGGAGCAGCAGCAGCGUGUAAUGGAUGGAUGGGUGCUGCAGCAAGAUGGAAGCAGGAAGCAGCUAGCAGCGAUGAAGCGAGGUGUGAGGCUGUGAUCGAUCUGUGGGAUGGGAGGAAGGUGGAGAAGAAAAGGCAGUUGGGCACGAGGUGGUAUAUAUACAUCUACCACGGCAGCGGCAGGAGGAAUUGGUGAUUGGUGUGGGGUUAGGAGGAGGAGGGGAUCAGCAUUGGUCAGUGUGAGGAGGAGUACUGACAAGUUGGGUGUUGUCGGCUUGGAGCAGCUGGUACAUACAACCUGCAAGUGGGCCUUGGUGAGCAGUCUCUUGCUGAAGAAGCACUGUUAAUUAGAAGUAGUGGAAUUGUAAGCCUGAUAAAACAUAAAUGAGAGGUGGUUAAUGGUGAUGAAAAAUGGAGCAGUGUGGGUGAGACGGCGAGUGCCAUGCUAGGUUCCGAAAGCAGCAAUGAAUAAUAGGCCGGGUUCAGACAGGGGAUCGAGUCAUCGAGAUGAGAAACGAAAAGAUGACACUUUUCUUUUCUAGUGAUGAUUAAUAGGCCGGGUUCAGACAGGGGACGCCUUUAGUUCCUCACAUAGUAUGUUACAAACAAAACUUUAUCAGUUCAGAUGCACCGCCAGUCGCUUGUAAACGCGUUUUGUGUCAGUCGCGUGAAAACAGCCGGAGGGAAGAAGAAGCUCGUCGGAGAAAGCCCUCUAGGUGUCUUAAGAUGGCAGGCACCUCCGUUGUCUAUCUUAAGGGUGCGGGGUGCAUGAUGCAAGCUCGUUGAAAAAUAAAAUGACCAUCGUCGAGGCGAGAGGGAUGGUCGGGGUGGCGGCAGCACGUACGACGGUGAGAGGCGGUUGAGGGGCUGGCGCAGGAGCCGAGCGCCCCAACUGCGGGUAGUGGUGGGUGGAGGGUGGGGCGUCCACAUCAAUCAAAUGGGAUGAAGCCAACACAAUCCCAACGGAAAGCUAAAGUGCAAGAAUAACAAGGAGGAGGAGAAGAAGAAUCGUAGCACGAACACGGGUCCGCGUCACCUUCGUUCCGUGUGCACGCAGCUGCAGCCAGCCAGCCCCACUCUCUUCUCCAUCUUCAUCACAAGAAAAAAAUGCGACGUACGCAACGCGGCACAGCACAUGCAUAGCAUGGUCCGAUCGAUCGAGCUACACCACCAUGGUCCACGGCCAAGAUCGACAUGCGUGCAUGCAUGCAUGCAUAUCGUCAGUACCACGUACCACGACGCGUCUAGCCUAGGAUAUGUUGCCAGAUCUGUCCUACGAGUUAAUUCCUCGUGUCGGACUAUUUCUAAUCUGAUACUCCUGCGUUAAGCUUAUAAAGAUUCCACUAACAGAUUACGUACGAAGCAAAAUAAAUGAAUCUAUAUUUUAAUAUAUGAUUAUGUACAUCCGUAUGUAAUUUGCUAAUGAAAACUUUAAAAGAAUUAUAUUUACAAACGGGUGAAGUAGAUCGAUCGAUCGUCCUAGUAGUACGAUUAGGAUAUAUCAACAUCAGUUCAUAAUCACCAUGCAAAUUUAUUUCCAAUCGUAUAUCACCGUGGUGAGAAAGCGGAGCAACAUACAGUAGUAUCGUUCAGAGCCGGCCGCGAGUUAUACUUAUUCCAUCUCUUCAUAUGCAUGCAUGUGCGAUCAUCAAAACAAUCGAGAGGAGGAGGACGACGACGAUACGCUAUAUAUGUAGGUACGUACGUCCGUCAGCCGAAUUCACGGACCAGAUCCAUUGGAAGGACGCGCAAAAGGUGUGGGGGUGGAGGGACGCGGUCACACGGAAUCGGAAGCUUCUCCUCUUUACACGUUUGUGCAUGCGAGUCGUCCGUCGCUCGUGCCAAAACAAGGGCACAUAUGCAAUGCCAGCUACUUGCAUGGUUCGAUUAGAAUACUCCUUAGAGCAUCUCCAACAGCGGCGCAAAAAGGCGUGCGCGCUAAACCGGUAUUUUACCGCGCGCGGGACAUAAUUGCGCGCUCCAGCGGCGACGGGAAAACCGCGCGCGCGGGAACCGCUAGCGCGCGCGCCAUUUUUCCGGCGCCGCGUCCCGCGCGUCCAUAAAAGGUAGCGCGCUGCCCUGCCUCUCGCGCCGCGUUCUCUCUCCCUCUGCCUCUCGCGCCGCCGCCGCGUUCUCUCUCCCUCUGCCUCUCGCGCCGCGCUCUCUCUGCCUCUCGCGCCAUCAUGCCGUCGCGCCGCCGUUCUGCAUCGGGCUACCGCGGCGUCCGCCAGCGCCCCAACAGCGGGUUCUACGCCGAGAUACGCUCCGGCGAUCUCCGGCUGAGCCUCGGCACCUACGACACGGCGCACGAGGCCGCCCGCGCGUUCGACGCGGCGACGUGGCGCCUAGGCAGGCAGCGCCUCCAGAUGAAUUUUCCGGACGUCCGCACGCUCCAGCAGGCGUUAGACCUGGCCCCGCCGCCUCGUCUAAACUCCGCACAAGACCGUGCGGAGCACACUGCGCUGCAGCGCCGUCUCCUCGUCGCCCAGGAGGACGAGCGGGUGAUGGCGGAGUGACGCCUACGCCACCCGGAGGACGUCGCCUACGAGCAGGAAUAUUGGGAACGACGCCGCGAGGAGGACACGCGCCGGCGCCGCGAGGAGCGCUUGGACAGGCCGACCUCGUCAAUGCAGGCGGAAGGUCCUUCUUCACUGAAGAAGAUGAGCGUUGGUUUGACAUCUGGCUGUCAACCUCUGACGACACCAACGACGAUGAUGAUGGUGCAGAUGACUGGAGCGAUUAGGAGUUUUUUUGUUUUCGAAUUAUCUAGCACCGAAUUAUCUAUCUAUGUUUUCAAACUACCUAUCUAGUUGCAAUAUAUGUAAAAUAACUUUAUAUCGUUUUUAUUUUAAUGGAAUCUACUUUACGAAAUGUUGUGCGCGCGUUGUAUUUUUUGGCACUGCUGGAGCGGCGCGCGCGCUGCAUUAUAGCGCGGUUGUUGGAGCCAGCGCCUAUCCCUGCGUUAAAUCAGCCGGCGCGCGUGCUGUAAAUAUAUUUUUUAAGCGCGGCGUGAAGCGCGGCUAUUGGAGAUGCUCCUCGCUACCUAGAAGCGGCUAGAGGCACCGGUCAUGGUUGUUGGCAGAUGCAUGGUCGACUAGUCCAAGUUUGAGGACAACUCAGAGAGAGAAACAGAGAAGGAAGCUAGCCAGCCCAGCCAUGUUAAUCAAGGACGGACGUCUCCUGAUUCCUACCGCCAUUAUAUUCAGCCGGCUCCAUGCGGAAGCACAUGCAACGAUGCAAAAUAGCGCAAGCAGAGCAGGCCAGCAGCCACAUAUGUACACGGAAUGCACAAGCAAUCAUCAAAGAUAUAGGUUGCCUAGAAAAAACAUCAUAUUUUUUUAGGGGUUUACAAAAUAAAUAAAAACAUCGAUCCUGUGUUGGACGUUUUACAACGGACUAAUCCGUACAGAAUAGGGGCCGGCAAAGUUGGUGCAGCAACCGUGCAUGUGAGCCUAUGACUGACUCAUGUUCGGUCUCAUCGCAUGAUGAUGGCCCAACCGAUCGGUCACGUGGAUGGAAAUGAAAUACAAUAUAUAGCUUUUGGUUAAACUUGCAAAAGAGCCCGUGCAUUGUAUUGUAAGAGAAAAUAACACACGCUCUGAACGUAAUAUAUUUUCACAUGGCAUCAUAUUUGUGUUGUCGACGAUGGCUUUAGUGCUCACACAAUGAAAGCGUGUUUGAAUAUACAGUCAUUCGGAAUAAGAUGAGAAAUAUGUUGUUUCUUCCCGCGAGGUUUUCCAAAGGUGUGCAUGUGUUGUUAAUGAUGUUUUCUUUUCUCUUAAUUUGGUUUUAGUUUAAUGGAUGUUUAUUGCAAUUCAUAUCGUCGCCGGAAAGAGAGAGAAAAAAAGAACCGUACACUACAAAUUAAGUUUGCACCAAAUAUAAUAUUUAAGAACUAUUCAACACCUAAAAAUAACAUCCUAUUUAGAUUCUAUACAUUUUUUAAUCAAAUUUCAUAUAUAACAUAUUAAAAUCGGAGUUAUGGUUUAAAAGAUAUGGAUAAUUUUAUUUUACGUAAAAUGUGGAUUGAUUAACUGAAAAAUUAAGGUUUUUUUGUUAAAAUACGGAGGGCGGGUUGAUUACCUGAAACAUCAGGUUUUUUGGAAAAAUGCAAAAAAAGAUUCAUUUUCGAACUUAAAUCCGGACUGCAGGUUGAUUACCUGAAACAUCAUAGGGUUUUUUGGAAAAUGCAAAAAAAGUUUCGUUUUUGGACUCAAAAACGGACUGCGGAUUGAAUACUGAAAAAGCGAGGGAUGUUUUUGCAAAAUGACCACGACGGCCGACAGAAGCGUUGCGUGCUUUAUUAUUAGGGAGAGAAGAGUGCAUGGUGUUCCGCCGACGGUCCUCCUCGACACCAUAGCGAGGCAGAGCAUGCCAGCAGCCACAUAUGUACACGGAAUGCACAAGCAAGCAAUGGCGGAGCGUUCUGGGGACAAUUCCGGGCUGGCCCGAGUGCGGACUUUUGGUGCUCGAUCAUCAUGGUGGGGGGUAUUUUUAAAAUAUCAAAAGGCCCAUUCAAAAGUUAAAAAAAGGAAAUCAAAAGAAAAUCAUGGAAACAUAUAUGUGUUCCGCAUGAACGUAUGAAAAUUUGAUUGAAAAAGUUGUGAUUUAUAGGCUGUACAAAAAAACCAAUUUCCGGCCCCAUAACAUAAUAUCCUGGCCCAUUUCAAAAUACGUUUUUUUUCUCUUUGUGUGUAUGCCACGUAUGAAAACAUGAUGUUAUGAAAUUUGCAUAUACGCCAUAUACAUGUGUAUGUGUGUUCAUAAGAAAAAAUAAAAUAAAAAUCACAUUGUGGAAAAUUGUGUUUUGAAACCGUCCACCAUGGUGAUCGGUCACCAUUGGCAUUUUUGGGCCUUGCCUCCCCCCCCCUUCCUAGAAGAAAUUAUGCUAAAUAAGGAUAUGCUUCACUAAUCGCUCUACUAAUCCUUCAACCUCUCCGAUCAUCCUAGCCUUUUCUAUGUAAUAUUCACUUAUUUGCCCCUCCUUAUAUUUGGUUUACGCUUCGUCACUGCAAGCAAGCACCAUAUAUUGGAGCUUCACAUGGUAUUCCAUUAGAAGAGUGCUCAAGAUAUAGGAAACUAGAGAAAAAAGAGGUUUGGACGAACUAAGAGGAGAAGAAAAAAAAAUCAAAAACUCGAGCUCGAGAAACAAACCGAAGGCCUCCUCGCCAAUAUGAAAGGAGGCCAAGCUUUGGUAACCGUGGGUGCUAGAAAAUUGGGCCAUCUAAUGCAUGCCCCGAGAAUAGAUGAUCGCUUUUAUCUUGGGUGUUGCUGCGUUCUUUGUGUUGUAACAUUAAUUAAAUCUCUAUUAAUCUUCUAUUUAAUGAGUGGUGAAAAUCUUUUGCCUCUUUUUUAGAAAAAAUAAUAUAGAAAGGGAAUGCAAACCAAUACGUUUUAGGAGAAGGAAACUUUUUAUUUAAUACAGACAAUAAAAACGAUAUGUUAGCCGAUAUAAAGGACCUUGCAUGACACGAAAGACAUGCAACCCAUCGCAUCGACAAGCAAUCGUUGAUGAGAACCACCCACAACGGAAAGAACUUCACUGUAGUAAGAACCCAUCAAAGUUGACACGAGAACUCCACCGUGUGAAUCCACCUCGACAUUUUGAAGCAACUUGAACCAUCCAAGUUGACCGGGAUAUAACAAUAAUGAAUGAAACCUUAGCUGCAAUGGCAAAGUACUUGGAUCAGCGAGAAUUAUGUCGAUGAAGAAGAAAACUACCGCUCGCUGUCAUCACGAAUGGAGAAGAACAGUGUUUGCCUUGCAAAAGAACCAUCACGUCAAAUGAUCGAAAUGAAGAUUCGACUCAAAAAGACACCGCUCCCCCCCCCACCAGUGCCAAACAACUCACUGCCUAAACUACCUCCUAGCCGGACGACUUAUUCAACUAUCUCCUCUAGAUAUCAAAACCUAUAGAUUUACGCCACUCGGUCCUAGAUAUAUAAUCCCCCAUGGUCACACGACACCAUAGAGGGGCAGUAAUGCUACACGUAUGGAGUUUUUACAAAAGAUUUACACAUUGCUUAUCACUGAUUGGUCGGGAAUUGAUUAAGGCACACGGGCUCACCGCUGAAAUUCAGGGGGGGGGGGGGCAAUUAAAAGAGCUUACAGUACCCAGCCCGUAAAAUCCUGUAGAAUUUGUCCGUAUGUUAAGCAUUCUUGCCAUACAGGGAGAGGAAGAACCAAAACGCUAAUCGUUGCAACUCUCAACUACCUCUCUCGGUGUGUUAAAAAAAACCACCUCUCUCAGUCCAGAACCAGAACCUUUGUUUCUCAUGAGAAACUAGUGUACUUUUGUUUUCUAAUUAACAUCGUAUUUUUAUAGGAGCUUAGUUUUUGUUGAACCAUAAUUCUUACAUGGGUUUGCACAGUUACAUGUCCAUAUAAGGGCCCAAGCUACUCAGUGGCCUACGGGGCCACAUCAAAGCAUUUAUAUCUCGUAAAUUCCAGUCUGAUUGUUCUCUUUAUUGGCCUAUUCUACUGAACUUCUCAUCAAUAAUUGCAUUUAGAUUGGGCUUAACAGCCCAUUCAUACCGUGCGAGAUAUGUCUCGCUUACUGCAAGACGUAGCUCUGAAUCGCCUUUAGUGCGCCGUUGUACUGGGCUGACACAUUACAAUACUUGCUGCACUAUGUUUUUUCUCUGUGUGGUUUUCUUAUUGGUCUUUCAAUAUUUUCAUCAGGUUUCUUCUUUUUUCCUUUUUUUGUUCCCUACUUUCUUCGGUUUUACCGGGUUUCUUCGGUUUGUUUCCUUUUCCCUUUUGGUUUAAUUUUGUAAACACAUGUGUACAUUUUUAAUACACAUUGUACAUUUUUCAUAUACAUUGGGAAUAUAUUUAUACACGUUAUCAUUUUAAAAUACAUAUUUAACCAUUUUUUAAAAUAUAUCUUUGGUUUCUAAGUUUUUUAAUGAUACAAAACAUUUUUUUAAACUACACGAACAUUUUGAAAUGAUCCAAAGUAUUUUUUUUUGAAUUAAAGAAACUUAUUUUACAUUGUAUAAAAAAUUUAAAGUGUUGCAUACCUUUUUUGAAACAUGUGCACAUUUUGUAAAUUUCACUUUUUUAAGCUACUAGCAGUUUGAUAAAAUUAUUAAUCCCUACCCAAAUUAAUUGGCAAUGCCUUAGUACAUUUUCAAUCGGAGUGAGUAACCAAUUUAUUACACUGUAUUGUAAUUUCCCAAAAACAUUACUUUUAAAAUUAUUUUGAUUAUAUUUAAGGUUUGGAAAAUAAAUAUUUACAAUAUUCCGAAAAUAUGAAGUAAAUAAAAGAAAAUCAAGCGAAAACACAGAGGAGGAAAACGAGUUGACCUUCAUGGAGCUACUGGGAUGAUCCAUUAGUGGUGAUGCUGAAGCGUGAAAAGCUCGUGUCUCAGUCCGGGCGAGACACAGCCGCUCCCCAUUUCUAAAAUCAAGAGCAUUCUUUCUCUGCCUUGGACCAUGUGUACUCUCUAACUUUGUUGAAGCCCCGGCCCGUCAAAAGUAAGCAGUCGUCGCAUCUACAUAAAAAAAAGGCAAAUUGUCUUCUCGAGCCAUUUUUAUGCGACCUGGGUCACACAUAGGGCUGCAAGAAGAGCUCAAGGUUCGUGAGCUGGUUGAGUUUGAUUCGUCUUUUGGCUCGACUCGAGAUUGAAAGAAAUGAGCUGCGCAUGAACACUUUAUAUGGCUCGAUUGACAAACGAGCCGAUCUUGAGCUAAUAUUGGCUCGAGUGAUUUUAGCUUGAUAGAUCGAGGUAAUAUAACUAUGUUAAAUGAUCAUGCUAUAUAUUAAAUGGAAAUAAAAUAUUUUAUAACCAUAUAUGAUGUUUUGGAAAAAAAAAUUAUCAGCAAACAUGAAAGUUUAAUUAAGUGCAGAGAAAAUUUAGGCAAUACUAUGGUACAUGAUCAGCUAGGCAUGAAUAUCCUAUUGUUUUUGUCAAAAGUUUCCCAGCAUAUUCACCUUCAUUUUAUGUCUUUCAUCCUAGAUGAGCUCUCCUAAGCACGACGAGAUGGCCGUACCAUCGAUCCAAGUAAGCUUUUUUUACACAUUCACGUCAUCUAAUUAGUAUUAUAGUUUAUAAAUAAAUGAAUGCUAUCUGAAUACGUUUUCUUUUCAAGAUUUGUGUUAUAGUAGGCUGUUUACGUGUAAAAUACUCUUGGACCAGGUGCAAGUUGUAUCUACGAGAUUCUUUCUUGGUUUUACUCUAAGUAAUUUUGUGGUUUUGCAGUUAGCGCAGAUUGAGGUUUGUUCAUUUCAACAUAAUUUUUUAACCAUAAUGUCAUGUUUGAAAUGAUAAACCUAUGUCUACAGAAUCAAGGAUUCAGAUUUAGUGCAUCCUAUAUAUGUGAUUCAGAUUACUAACAUGUUUUUUCAUAGAUAUUUAGUCUUACAUGUAUCACUUUCGAAACGUUUUCCUGUAGAUUCAGAGUGGUAUUAACAGGAACAACUUAUCACUGAUACUUUUCACCUUAAUAGUCAUUCACAAAUGCCUAAUACCUCUGAAUCUCAGAUCCUUUGUAUAAAUUUAUAUUAUCAUCAUCUUGAUUGAAAUAACAUUUUUUAGUGCUUUCUUAUGUCAUAUCUUAGAUUAUAUAUUUUUUGCCGUCUCAUUUAGCUUGAAACUAGCUCGAGAUCAACUCAAGAUCGUUACAAGCUGAGUAAGUUUUACAGAUCGGUCUUGAGUUUCACUCAAUUCGAGUUUGCUUGCAUUUUAAUAUGAGUUGAGCCGAGCCAAGUCCAACACGCUCGAAAUCGACUCAUUUGCAGCCCUACUCACACGCAGCGAUGGCGGGGAGCUCCUAUUGGACGACACUCUUUGCCUCACGGUGUCCAAGUUUCCCACAGAGCUAGCGAUCGAGAGCUUCUGGUGGGCCGGCACGUAAACACAUAGGAGCGCUUCUGGUUUUAGGAACCUUCCAUACAUUUUCCACCCGGUUUUACUUAGUUUCCUGAAUCGGGUUUUUUCUUUUCUUUUUCUGUUAUUUUUUUCGUUUUUCUUUUUCUGUUUAUGUUUUUUCUUUUUUUCCUUUCAAUGUUUUCCCUAUCUGUUCUGUUCGAAAAUUUCAAAUAUUUUUUGAAAGUUUUAAAUAUAUUUCUCGCCCUAAAUUUUUAUUCACAAUUUUUAAGAUAUUAAGGCUUGAAAAUACCUGCAGGAAUUUCAAAACUAAUUCUAGUUUUCAUAAUUUUUUCAAAAUUUCUAAAAAUGUUCUCAUUUUUAAGUUGUGUAGAUAAUUUUCAAAAUUGAUCGUGUUUCAGAAAAUUUCGACACUUUUAGAAACAAUUCCUGUUUUCAAAUUGUUUCACAAUUCCAGGAAAAUGUUCGUGUUUCAAAAAAAUGUUCAUGUCUAAAACAUGUUCAGGAACUUUCGUAAAUUUUAAAAAAAUGAAGUUGAAAACUGUUUGGAACAUUGUUUGUCUUUCCUAAAAAAUUUCGCGUUCACAAAAUGGUUGGAAUGUUUUUUAUAAAUUUCACCAUUUUAUUUAAAAUUGUUCAUAUUUUCAAAAAAUUGUUCAUAUUUUCAUUUUUCAGGAACUUUGAAUAUGCUAAAUGUUUUCUGAUCAAGUGAAAAUUUCACAGAACUCCAAUUUACGAGCAAAGUUUGAUAACGGGAACAUUUUGUAAAAGCAAAAACAUUUUACGAAAUUUAAGAACUGUUUUCCAACAUGAACUUAUUUUAAAGAUAGAACAAAUUUUGAUAUUUCAAACAUUUUUCUAAAAUUGCAAACAAUUUCCGUAAAACUUGAACACAAUUUUGAACUUUGACGGUAUUUUGAAAAGCUAAACAAAUUUUAACAAUUUCCAAUAAAUUCGGGAAUUUUAGAUCAAUUUUCAAAUAUGUUGAACAAUUUUCAUUUUUUUGGAGUUUUUCCUACAAAAAUAAAAUAAAAAAUUCAAAAUUUGUGAAAAUUCCUGAAAUUCUGUUGAAUUAGUGAAAACAUGGCUUUAUUUAUUCGUGAACAUAUUUGCAAAGUGAAAACAGAACAUUUUUAAAAUAUUUGAACAAUAAUUCAAAGGCAUACAUUUGUUUAGAUCCCAGAAAGAUUUUGUUAUUUUGAGAAUAAAUUUUCAAAACAUGAACAUUUUUUGAAUUCGCAAACGAAUUUGAAAAGUGGGUAGAUCUUUUGAAAUUCCCAAACAUUUUCUGAAUUUAUGAACAAAAAUUAAAAUGCAAACAUUUUUUAAAUUUGAAAUUCUAAAUUUUUUGAAUUUUCCAAUAGUUCUUCUAUGUUAGAAAAGAUGUAUUUCAAAUUCUAAUUUCUUUGGAAAAUUUUUACAAUAUUUCAAAACGGGAAUACUUUCAAAAAAAUGAACAAAGUUCUUAAAUUGCCAACAUUUUUUAGAAAUUCUAAAGAUUUGUUGAAAAAUAAAAGUGAAAAUGAAAUUUACAAGGAAGGCAAAGAAAAACGAAACAACAAAAAUAAAAGUGAAAAAGUAAAGAAAACGAAAAAGGAUAGAAAAGAAAAAAGAGAAAUAAACAUAAAAAGAGAUAAAAACCGGCUCGCUGGAACUGGGCUGGCCCAUCUAUCAUAGUUACCAUCCUGGUCCUAUGCGAAUCGCCGACAACUCGUCGCAACAAGCAGCGAAAAGGGUUUUUCAUGAUUAUAAAAACCGCUCCAUGGGAAACCACAUGCAACGAUGCAAAUAUAUAGCUCUAUUAAUCAGAACCAGCAGCUACUACAUGGAAUGCACAACCAAGCAUCAUGAUAGACGUUUUCAAACUGACUAAUAAUAUACACCCUCCGUCUCGUAAUAUAAGAGCAUUUUUUACACUACACUGGUAUAAAAAUUGUUCUUAUAUUAUGGGACAUCUAUACUCCUAUAUAGUGUACCAGUACUGGGAGAUGUAGACCGUUGGAUCUUUGUAAUCUAACGGCUCGCCGUCAAUUGAUUAACAUAGAGGGCUGCGUGGCCAUACAUCGACAGUUGGAUAGACUAAUCUAACGGCUGACAGUGCAGGGAUUCGCGGUGUGGCACAUCCUUUGCUUCCAGACUACCACCAUUUGUGUGUGACAAAGCUACAUGAAAGUUCAUGAUACUGCCACUGCCACCUAGAAAUCUUUGGUAGGCUCCAGUAAGAAUGCUGCACUGCUGCCCUACAUGCUACAAUACUACUACUAGCAAGCUAUUCCACCAGGACCAAGUACUCCGAGAGUACUACAACUGCUACACGUGAUGAGAGAUGGGGAAAAGUGCAUGCAGCACUGCAGUCUUAGCGAUGCAGAAAUUAGUAAAUCAUCAGAUGCUUAAUACUACCUAUUCAUUAGCUUAUUUUUUCAUCUAACAAAGUCCAUACACGUGCACACGUACAAUUCAUAGGUUUGUCUGGUUAUGGAUAACAAACACAAGGAAAAAUAAAAGUUUAAUAUCUCACGUGAAAAAAAGAUAGUUAAGCGUAAUAUGUGUUGUAAUUAAAGGCUAUUACUUUAUUUUAUUAUAAAUUCGUUUUACAAAUAUGAUCCAGGUUUUUUCAUUGUUUCAACCAGUAAUCGUUAAAUCCACGUGCUACUAAUAGUGAGUAAUAGACAAGUUAAUUGGAAGAUCCGUAAAGAAUAGGAGCCAACAAUAUAUUUUUUCGAACAUCGGGGACUUUCUCUUUAAUUAAUAACCAUAUCUUUUAUAAUAAGUGGAAUCAUGAAAUCAGGGGUUUAUCAUGCCGCACCCUUGACUCCUGACCCAAAAAACUAAAACAAGCAAUAGCAUACGCACACUCGUUUACAUCAUGCACACAACGAUUUAUUGACGCCUUGCCAAAAGAACAUGUGAAACUUCAACAAUCAUCAGUAAUUACCGCACCUAACGCUCGAUAGUCGUCCAACAACCAUGCAUGUGAGCAUGUAACACCUGUUCGGGCUAAUUGCACGGUGAUGGCUGCGAACCGAUCAUGUGGACUAGCAAGAGAAUGUAAAGUAGGAAUUUCAUUAGUCAAGGAAACUACAACUAUUUGAAAUGACACAGAAACCUUUUUCGGGAACAUAAGAAAAUGCCUUGUUUAGAUAGAACAGUACAACUAUAAUUUUACAAAAAGAAUCUUGCAAGAUAGAAAAAACACAACCCCUUACUCCAACAAGUUGUUGUCAUCGAGCCUGCAUCGUAAAGAACGCCGUCCCAAUAAGGAAUCAUCAACGCUGCCAUGAAGACUCGACCAAGGGAUCCUCCUCGAGGAUACUAAAGCCUCUUGACCCAUAUGAUGAUAGUGCCAUAGCCCAUGGAUUAUCUUCCAGCGCACCCGCCAGAUUGCCCAUAGGGUAUCAACUAUUUUCGUGAAACCAACAUGCACUAGAUUCUCCAUCACUCGAAAUAACCAAAGCUUCAGAUCGUUCAUCUCAUCUACCACCAUAUGAUCCAAUAUCUCCUCAUCAAAAAAAGCUUACCACAACAUGACAUAGUGCAAUUCAACAACAAAUGACAUCGUGAAUUACCGACCGCCUAAUACACAAAGAUUAUUCAUCUCAUCUACCGACUGCCUAACACAUAAAGAUUAUUAAGCCACCCCUGCUAGUGACGAACAUUUGCUACUGGGGAUGAUGAUCUUGUGAGUCUUUAAAGCUUGACAUUUUUUGAGAAUAGCCUGUAACUUUACUCUCAAGCUCGACAAAAGUUACACAUACAAUGCUUCGGCUCAUUGAUCCGAGAACUUACAAAGUAAUUCCUAUAAUUAAGGACUACAAUGAAAUUUAUCAGAUGCGUCUUCCAUGUGUAUCAUUUUUUGCUGCACAAAAUACUAUCAGGGCUUCUGUAAAGAUAAUGCAGUCAAAUCAAAGCAGCGACACUGCCACUCGUACACAUGUGCGAGAAUUGACUACCUUCAUAGGUUUCAAAACUGCCCAUUGAAAAGGUUGGAAGCCAUGAUCGUUGAAUGUAUUUCGGACGUGGAUGGUCCACUAGAGGUACAGGUUGUCGACCCAUAAUAUCUUUAAAAGAACGUCAAAGAAGGACUUGAAAGUCUCAAAAAUUACACCAAGAGAAGCACCAGAAAACAUAAAAUCCGCAUGGUCAAAUCCACAUGGUCAAAUAAACCAAGCCCGCACAGACACAAACUAUCCGGCUUCAUGGCGCCUUUCGAUAACACUGCACCACAACGGGAGAAAAUUCAUAUUAGCUUUAUUCUUUACGGCAUUGCACCCUCCACCAGGACAUUGUCGACGAAGGCCAUAGAAAUCGCCGUUUUUUUGAAUAAACUCAGAAAGAUCCAAUACCCCCCUUGCCACGCAACACGAUGGCCGAAGGCGAAGGGGACACACAAAGUCCGUGGUGGUUGCCUCCUAAAACCCUAGCUUCUCAUGUGACUAGGUCUCUUUUAAAGCUUGGCAUUUAUGAGCUUAGUUCGUGUUGAGCCAUACUUCUUACUUGGGUUGUUGGCUACUACAUGUGCUAUGUCUUGCCAACCCUGAGAGGAUAUAGCGCUCGAUACUAGUAGUGGUAUCAUUCAUCUGUUUUUGAGUUGUUUUAAGAUACUUCCUGUCUAGUGGGGCCAAUGUUUGAACCCUUCGUCCUGUUUUGGAAGGGUUCUAUUUCAAGUAUUUUUUUUUCCUUUUAAUUUACAGUUCUAUCGGUUUUCUUUAGAGUUUUCGUUUGCUUUCUUCUAUUUUAAAUAUUUAUUUUACUUUAUAAGUACAUGAUCUUUUUAAAAUUCUUUUACAUGUUACGAAGAUUUCACAAUCAUUGUGUGAAUAUAUUUUUACAUGUUUAUGAAAAUUCCUAAAAUGUUAUAAAAAACAUUUUGAAUGGCACAAUUUUCUUAAUGUUGCCUGAAAAACAAAUCAUUAAUUAUAGAAAUGCUAUGAACUUUGUGAAAAAAUCAUAAACAUAUUUUUAGAUGUUAUGAGCAUUUGUUUGGAGUGGUAUAUUAUUUUUCAGAAAUACACGAUGAAGAUCAUGAAAAAUGAUAAAAAAUAAAAUAGAUAAUAAACAUUUUGAAUAGAUGGCGGAUCCUUGUAAGCAUGACAAGAUUUUUUCAUAUACACAAUGAACAUUUUCUAACAAACAUUGGAUUAUUUCUUAACGUGGGGUCAACAAAUUGAAUGUGUGUCAAAAGAAUAAUAAAAGUAAGUAAAAUAGCAUAUUUUCCAAUAAUAUUUGUCUCUAUGUUUCAUAAAAGAGAGGAAAAAUGGAAACACAAGGUGUGAAAAGAAUGAAGGAAAAAAAUUCUUCUUCUUAUUAUUNNNNNNNNNNUAUUAUUGAUUACGGAAACCAAACAUGCAUAUAUCCACUAGCUUUUUUUUUUGAGGGGUGCAUAUAUCCACUAGCUAAAUGCAGCCUGGCUCAACUAGAAGACCACUGCAGCCGAUGCCUUUCUACCAUGAGCCUGGCCCAUGCCCCUGACCUUCACAUUAGCAUUUACAUUGUGCUUUCUGGCCUAUUCUGCAAAAACCCUAUUCGCGGCUCUCUGCGACAAAUUAUCGAGCGACACCAGCGACUAAAUGGCAAGGGGCCGUUGCACGUUUCACUGAUCCCGGUUUCGGCAGCUUUCUAGAAGGUUCCCAACCGUUUCAGGUCUGGUUUUCCUUUUUAUUUUUUCCUGCUGUUUCUUUUAUUGUUUUCUUCGAUUUUUCGUUCCCUUUAUUAUUAUUAUUUUCUGUUAUUUGGUUAUAUGUUUCAUCUCUGGAUACCUUUUUUUCGUUACCAAUUUUGAGAAUGUUUUUUACAUGGUCAGAAUUUCAAAUUGUUUAGGAAUUUCUAAUUUUGUUAACGUUUUGAAAAAAUAAUUAAAUUUUCAUAUUUUGUUCCCUUCUAUUCAAAAAAUGUUCGGAUAUUUGAAAUUAAGUUCGUGUUCUGAAAACAAAUGUUAAUUUUUCAUAUUUUGUCACCUUCUAUUCAUGAAUGUUUGAGAAUUUCAAUUUUUUCACAUUCUAAGAAUUGUUCAAAUUUUGUUCUCUUGUAUUCAAAAAAUGUUCAGAUUUUUCAAAUUUUGUUCGUGUGUUGGAUUUUAUAAAUUUUGUUCCCUUAUAUUAAAAUUGUUUUCGGAAUUGAAAAUCUUGCUCAUGUUUCGAAAAAUGUUAAAUUAUUCUUAACUUCUAUUAAAAAUAUGCUUGAAGAUUUCAAUUUUUUUGUGUGUUUUGUAAACUUGUUCAAAAUUUCAAUUUUUGUUCCUUUAUAUUCCAAAAAUAUUUGGGAGUUUCAAAUUUUGUUUGUGUUUAUAAAAGGUGUUACUAAUUUUAGAAAAAAUGUUUUUCAAAAAAUGUUUGGGAUUUCAAAUUUUUUCACGCUUUUAGAAAAGUUCCCAAUUUUGAAAAUUAAUCAUUUUUCCAGAAAAAUCAGGUAUUCCAACUUUUAUUCGGUUUCUGAAAAUGUUCAGAAUUUUGAAAAUUAUUCACUUUUUCCAAAAAAUGUUCAGGAUUUUCAAGUUAUAUUCUCCUUUAAAGAAAAUUUACAGAAUUUAAAAAAUUGUUCACUCUUUUAAAAUAUGUUCAAAUACUCAAAAGUUGUUUAGUUCGUAUAAUUGUUCACUAGUUUCAAGAACAUUUGACAUUUUAAAAUUUGCUCACUUUUUACAGAAAAUGUUCAAAACAUUUCAAAAAGUUGUUGAAUUUUUUUUAAAAACAAGUUUAUAAAUUUGUUAUCGUUUCUCAAAAAUGUUCUCCAAUUUAAAAUAUGUUCGUGGUUCCAAUUUUUUGUUCAAAAUUUGAUCAAAAGUUCUAUUUUCCAGCUUUUGUUCAGAAAUUCAAAAACUGAUCAUACUUACAAUUUUUUAUUCCGAACUUCUUGAAAUGUUCCACUUUUUGAAAUAAAUUUUCAGAAAUUCAAAAAAUGGUCACGCUUUCAAAAUUUCAUUAUUUGUUCACAUAUUCUUGUUGGUGAAAAAUUGUUCAGAAACUCAAAAAAUACUUGCACAUUUUCAAAUAUACUCUUUCGAAAAAGAGUAGACUUUUUGAAAUAAACUAUCACCAUAGUAACUAAUUCUAGUUCGCCACAAUAUUUAAUUCAAAUUUGCUAUAGUCGAGCAGCCCGGGUUUACACUACGUUAAUAAUUUAGGUCGCGCGGUGCAAUACUAACAAAAAAAUUGUCUCGUGGAGUGGCUAUGAGCUCGCAAUUGGAAGCAGGAGGUCUAAUUUUCGAAUCCUCACAUCGUGCUGCCCUCGAAUUUUGCUAUAUUUUUUCGUCUCGUGGUACAGGUUGAUCGGUUGGCCUAGUCGUGUUGUCUCCUAUGUGUGGCGCCGCUAAUUUGACGGAAAGAGCGUAAAAUAGGAGGUCCCCCUAUUAUGUGUUCACAACCGUGGUGGCUGCUUGAAGGUUGUCUAUAGAAGAAAGCUCUCUUGAAGGUGGAGUCCAUCAACAACAACAAAAAACUACGAAACAACCAUCAAAUAGACACAUGAUAAAAAGGCUAGAUGUUUUUUUCUCGGACACGAUACACACGUGGUUUUUAGGACAUAAUCACUCGGGACCCGCCCCCUCCAUUGGGGCAUGCGGGAGAUGGGGCGCAGCCGGCACCGGAUGCUGUCGGUGCAGUCGCUGCCUCUACGCCGCUUUCGGGUGAGGCCUUGGAUGCAGUUUGGGCUCUCGCCGGGGUCUCUCUGGCUGAUGCCAAGGCGGCUGCUGUGCGGAAUGCAGGCUUUGAUAAAGCUAGUAAAGAUCUGAUGGGGAGAGAGCCACGAAGUGGGCUAGGAAGAAAGAAAAGAUGACGUGAUACCGGUGCGGAGGGCAUUUUGUGGUUGAGUGCUCGGCAGAGCUAUGUGACAUUUGCCAUAAGCCGAAGCAUGAGAAGGGAGAGUGCCCUUUGCUCCUAAGGCCGAAGCCGGUGGUCACGAUCUAUGGGGCUUGUUGUCUAGAGCUUAUGUUCUUUGAAUCUCCUCGCUCGACUUCGACCACGCCGUCUCUGGAGAGUGCGCGGACGGGGGUUGUUAGGGUGACUCGUGGAUCGAUGACUUCGGAUCAGGUUGUUAGGAUGACUCGUGGAUCCAGUCAGGCUUGACGAGCAUCUAUUGAGAGCGGAUUUUCCUACUAAGGAAGAUCUUGCGAGGUUGCUGAAAUUUGGGAUGAGCAAGGUGCCAAACAACACUUGUGUUCUUGAGUUUGAGCCCGAGGGAACUCCUUUUUCUCAGCUGUGGGUAAGGUUUCUAGGUGCUCCGCGUACAGCGAUAGAUGAUUUUUUGGUGACUUGGAGUCUUGGUUCUCUGAUUGGUAAAACAGAGAAGGUGGAUAUGCCUUUCACUCAUGCACAGGGGGUAGCUCGCCUGGUGGUUAGUGUGACUAGCAUUGAGCAUAUUCCACACACUGUGAGAUGGGCUUAUGAUGGCAGGAGUUUUGACUUGGAUAUUGAGAUAGAGGAAAGUACUCUCUUCUAGGAGUUGGUUGAACAUAUCGAUAUGGAUACGGAGGAUGGUAACAACGGAGAUGGGAAACGGGAUGGUGGGUAAAAAAUGGGGAUGAUACUGACAGCGGUAAAAAGUGGUGGCAGCGCGUGCUCCACCGAAUCAUCCAUCUCCAUCGUGACACCACACAGUCACCCGCGCGCGGAGCCAGACGCGAAAGACCCAAAUCUCAACUGAUUCGAAGGGGUGGAAGUAUGUGCCUGCUCCUUCGUAGAGCCAGUCACUCCGGGGGCUUUUGCGAUGCCAGAGUCACCCACUCGGCCCUUGUUGGAGGAGACAUCGCCGAGGACGAUCCUGAGAUCCGGGGACCGGAGUCAGGAACAUUCGGCGGCUUCACAUGAGACGGCGGCAUCUAGGCAGCAUGGUGCUGUUGCAGUUACUUCUUCCCCCAAUGGGUACUUUGGGACUUCGAAAGUGGUUGGGAAGCUGGCAGGUGGCCAUACCGCAAUGGCUUCGACGACACCUUUCUCUGCUCGGGGCGUCGCUAGUGACCCUAGCCAGAUAGGGGCAUGGCUGCUGGGAGCGACCGAGGUGGGCAUGACUGCUUUGUCGGUCACACGAUAGAUGAUCGUGCGUCUCCUGGCAUUAUGCAUUCGAGCCCCAUCGGAUAGGAGUCACAAGGUCACCGUCUGCAUGUGCAUACCACCAAGGAGAUUAUCACCUUCGGAGGGUUCCCUGACCGGGCGACAAGAGAGAGGCGGACGAGUAGCCGUCUCCAGGCUCAGCCGGAUGUCGAUGAUCUUCACAUGGGUUGUGCCAUGCGGACGGCUAAGCUUCGUGACAUUGAGGCAACUACAGGUAUGUCGGUUAAUAGUAUGUCGGUUAAUACGAAUUGUUCUAUCUUGCAUUUCUCUGAUGAUGAUGUUAUUUUAAAUGCAAACCGACUAGGGGUGUCGCUGGGUAACAAUGGGAAGGAAUUUUCGAAAUGUGUGAAUGAUAUUUUAGACUUAGAGGCUGAGAGAGCUAUGGAGAUGCUUAGGAAUAUUGCUUCAGUCAAACCUAUGAAUGGUUCUGAUAUUAAUGCUCUAGGGAUGGUGGCAUUAGAGGGUCUAUGUGAGGACCUCGUGCCAACGUCACCGAUAUGUGAAGAAGGUAACGAUAUCGGUUCAGAGGGUUAUAUGGACUCUCCGCAACCUAAUGUUUGCGCAGAGUCUGGGACUGGUUAUAUGGGCCGGUUGGCUGAACAGGAUAAGCCAAAACACACCUCGAAGGGAAAGGUUUAUCCUGAAUCUACGGUUCGUAGAAACGCAAGACUUAAGACUGCAAAAAAAAAUUGAUGACACAUGAAAGGAAUAUUUUUAAACAGCAUAGGUCUAGCAGACUUGGCUAAAGAAGAUUUUUAGCGAAAGCGACAAUUGAUCCCAAACUAGACUUUAUUGUCCUAAUGGAAAUCGGUAGAGAUAACUUUACGUCACAAUUUCUUAGUACUCUCUCCGGUGGUGUUGAGUUUGAUUGGCAUUGUCUAACGCGAAGAGGAAGGUCCGGUGGAAUCUUACUUGGGGUAAGGUGCGAGUCACUUGAAGUCGAGAACGUAGUGUACAGGAACUUCGGUGUGAAAUUUAGACUGUGCUCGAAGGAGGACGGCUUCCAAUGGGCACUUGUGGCAGUAUAUGGUGCCGCCCAGCCAGAGUUGAAGAUAAGCUUCCUAGCUGACCUUGUCUGGAUUUGUGGGAUGGGCGGCUACCGAUUUUAGUUGGGGGUGACUUCAAUAUCUUUCAGUGUAGGGAGGAAAAGAAUAAUGACAACUUUGGUGGAAGAUGGUCAUUUAUGUUUAACACAAUUACCGAAAGCUUGUGCAAGAGAUUGAGCUCUCAGGCAGAAAAUUUACUUAGGCCAAUGCCUUGCCCAAUCCAACAUUUGAGAAAUUGGAUCGAAUUCUCACUGGUGUGGAGUGGGAGCAGAAAUACCCUCUCAUAACAGCACGAGCGUUGCCGUGAGCGAUUUAUGACCAUACCGCAUUUCUUGUUGACUCGGGUGAUGCAACACAUGCGGGUAACAAGAAUACUUUCUCUUUUGAGCUAGCUCAGUUUGAGAGAGAAGGCUUUCUGGACCUAAUAGCUAGAGAAUUGGCUAAGGUCACAGCGGGGGUAUCUAAUGUGGACCGAUGGCAAAAUAGAAUAAGGCAGGUGAGGUAAUUCCUAAGAGGUUGGGCUAAGCACGAGAGCGACAAAUAUAAAAAGGAGAAAGAAAGACUUCUCGAUCUUAUUAAUCGGUUAGAUUUAAAAGUCGAAUCACGCUGUUCGAUGACAACGGAAGGUCAUCUAGAGCACAGGCUGAGAAUAUUCUUACACAACUUCUUAGAGAAUAAGAUUUGAAAUGGCUCUUAGAGUGAAAGUUCGACGGGUUGUUUACGGUGAUGACAACACGAAGUAUUUCCGUCUCAUUGCGAAUGGAAAACACAGAAAGUAAUUUUUUUUACCAACUUGAGGAAGACGAGGGUACGAUUUUUGGACAUGAAAGUUUAAAGUUGUAUAUCUCUGAAUACUAUAAGCAACUCUUCCGGGAGCCUGAUGACAACUUCGUAUCCAUGGAUGAGCAGACAGUCGGUGAUAUUUAUCAGCUCGGGAACAACAAGAAUGCGAUAUUAACCACACCAUUUUCGGAGAAAGAGGUGUUUGAGGCUAUUUCACAAAUGAAAAACAAUAAGGCACCAGGACCAUAUGGAUUUCCGACUCAGUUUUAUAAGAGAUGUUGGCACGUUAUUAAAGGUGAGUUACUACCGAUAUUUCAGGACUUGUUCAAUGGCCAACUCCAGCUUUUCCAUCUUAACUUUGGAACAAUUAUGUUGUUGCCAAAGAAGGAGGGGACGUUGCACAUUGAAGAAUUUUGACCUAUUUGCUUGCUUAAUGUGAGCUUCUGUUUUUUUGGAAAGGUUGGUACAAAUAGAUUGUCGCAAAUUGAUCAUGCAGUGGUGCAACCUAGUCAGACGGCUUUCAUGCCGGACAUAAACAUACUAGAGGGUGUGGUUGUCCUACAUGAAACAUUGCAUGAAAUCCACUCAAAGAAACUAGAUGGGGUUAUCUUGAAGGUGGAUUUUGAGAAAUCUUAUGAUAAGGUUAAAUAGCCUUUCCUUCAACAAGCCUUACGUAUGAAGAAGGGAUUUGACAAGGUUUGGAGGAAACACGUUGAAUCAUUUAUACAAAAAGGUAACGUUGGAAUUAAAUUUAAUGAUGAUAUGAGUCAUUACUUUAAAACGCACAAAGGUCUUCGGCAGGGAGACCCAAUGUCUCCCAUCCUAUUCAAUGUGGUUGCAUAUAUGUUGGCAAUUCUAAUAGGAAGGGCUAAAGAGGAAGGCGAGGUAGGUGGACUCGUUCCACAUCUAGUGUAUGGUGGGGUGCUAUCCUACAAUAUGCUGAUGGCACUAUCUUGUUCGUGGAACAUGAUUUGGCAAAAGCGAGAAAUAUGAAACUUAUUCCGUGCUUAUUCAAACGGUUGUCAGGCUUGAAAACUAUUUUUCACAAGAGUGAUCUGUUCUGCUUUGGGAGAGCCAAAUAUGAACAAGGUAUAUAUAAACAACUGUUUGGAUGUGAACUGGGAAGUCUACCAUUUAGUUAUCUAGGCAUACCAAUUCAUCACCGUAAGUUAUCAAACAAAGAGUGAAAAUGUGUUGAGGAUCGAUUUGACAAAAAACUAAGCUGCUGGAAGACUAAGCUUUUGUCAUAUGGAGGUCGGCUCAUACUGAUUAAUUAGGUUCUAACGAGCAAGUCGAUGUUCCUUCUGUCCUUCUUUGAGGUAUCGGUAGGGGUACGGAAAAGAUUGAACUCUUAUCGAUCCCGCUUUUUCUGGCAGAGUGACGAAGUUAAGAAGAAAUACAUGCUUGCUAGGUGGGAUAUUGUUUGCAGACCGAAGGACGAGGGUGGUUUGGGAAUUGAGAAUUUAGAGGUUAAGAACAUAUGUGUGCUAAGCAAAUGGUUGUUCAAUUAUCUAUGGAGGCAGAAGGUAUGUGGGUACAAAUUUUGCGUAAUAAGUACUUACAAUCUAAAACCUUGGCCCAGGUAACAGUUAGACUCAAUGAUUCACCUUUCUGGAAAGGCUUGAUGAAGAUAAAACCGGGUUUCUUCCACAAAGCUAAAUUUAUCAUUGGAGAUGGAAAGUCUACAAGAUUCUGGGAGGAUACGUGGUUGGGGGCGACGCCUCUGGCCAUACAGUAUCCAUCUCUCUAUAAUAUUGUUCAACGUAAGGAGGCUUAUGUUGCCUGAGUAUUACAGUCAAUUCCGACGAGUUUUAGUAGUUUAUAGGUGGGAGGCUUGAUUACACCUAGUCACAAGACUCAUGGAUGUCCAGCUAUCGGAUGAGCCCGAUAGGCUUCAUUGAAAGCUAACACCUAAUGGCAUCUUUACUAUCAAAUCAAUGUAUUUGAGCCUUAUUGACACAACACCAAUACCUAAGUCCAAUCAUAUUUGGAAGGUGAAAGUGCCCUUGCACUUCAAAGAUUUCAUGUGGUUUGUCCACGAGAAGGUGAUUCUUACUAGGGAUAAUUUGGCAAACCGAAAUUGGGAGGGAAGUAAAAGAUGUAGCUUCUGUGACCAUGAUGAGACUAUCAAACACUUUUUUCUCCAAUGUCCGCUCGCAAGAAUUCUAUAACAAACAGUUCGUAUAUCCUUUAAUAUCACACCUCCGUAUAGCAUUGAUAUGUUGUUUGGGAUGUGGCUAAAUGGGGUUGACAUAACUUUUGCUAAACAUAUUCGUGUAGGAGUAUGUGCAUUGCUUUGGGCUAUAUGGAACCGCAGGAAUGACGUAACUUUUAACACACAAACAAAUGUUAAUUUCUUGCAGGUACUCCACAGGAUAUCGGCGUUGAUCCGUACAUGGUCGUUACUCACUCUUGUGGAAACCAGGGAACCUUUAAUUACUGGGUCUAUCCGGUGGGAGAUGGUAGCUCGGGAUAUCUACAACCAGUUUGGAUGGCGGUCCGGUAAUAGGAUAGAUGUUUAGGCAUCUAGGCUUAUGUUCGUCGGUUGUGGCAUCUUUUUGUAGACUUUUCAUUAUUGUGUUGCUCGUUUUGAGCUUGUUCGGAAAUCCUGGAUGUUUGUUACUUGUCCUUAAUAAAGUGGUUGCAUACAUCGUAAUGAUGCAGAGGCCGGAGGGAAUCCUCCUUUUCGAAAAAGCUGAUUUUCAGAAAAAUGGCAGUGAAGCUAGCAACACGGCUUGGCACAACGAGUUGCCGCCGAUAGCUUUGCUUCUUUUUCGAUCUAAACAUAACUGAAAGCUAAAGAUCAAGGCUUUUCCUUUGGACCCACACAAACCAGCGAGAGAAUAUACAAAAAAUGCGGGAAUAGAGAAGAAGAGAAGUGAACGGCUAUAAGCUCAUAGAUGAGCGAAAAUGGGGAUCAACCUCGAAGUUAGCCGCGAAACAACUUGUGAUUGUAUCGCUUGAGGGACAAUGAUAUUUCUAGCCGAUAAGAGCAUCUCUAGCACACCCCGUAUAAAGCCGAUCCGCAAAAGUCGUUUACAGUUCGCGAAAAACGGGUUUUGAGGGCUGACGCGGAUGCGGACAGAGGCAGAUCCCCAAAACGGACUCGUAAAAAACGAUAUUCACGGACGAUGCUUUUAUACGGGUCGGCAAUGUGGGGUCUGCUCAGGCGCCGCCGCGUCGACCCGCAAACCAAAAAACCUCCCAAUAAAACAUAGUUUGAAUUUGAUAGCGAUUUCGGCAAAUGAGUUCGAAUUUAAACAAUAAAACAUAGUCCGUGCGUGAAAUGAAAGCAUAAUUUAAAGGACAAACGCAAAAGGACUUCAUGCAUCCUGGUCGCUCUUCACUCCGCACCAUCGAGUUCAUCGCCGCCCCCGAUUCCAUCGACUCCCCGAAUCAAUCGCCGACACUUGUUCCUACUCCGCCACUUGUCCCUACUUCGGCACCGAAAUCAUCAGCAAUAUUGGUUCUGAUUCGAGAUGAGAAAACAUUGCCGCCAUUGUAACACGCAAGCAUCCUCCUCUUCAAGAUUUCUCUCCUUGUCAUACAUGCCAUUUUUUGGUGAUGUCUGUUGGAAUUAUGCCCUAGAGGCAAUAAUAAAUGUAUAGUUAUUAUUAUAAUUCCUGUAUCAAGAUAAUAGUUUAUUAUCCAUGCUAUAAUUGUAUUGAAUGAAGACUCAUUUACAUGUGUGGAUACAUAGACAAAACACCGUCCCUAGCAUGCCUCUAGUUGGCUAGCCAGUUGAUCAAUGAUAGUCAGUGUCUUCUGAUUAUGAACAAGGUGUUGUUGCUUUAUAACUGGAUCACGUCAUUGGGAGAAUCACGUGAUGGACUAGACCCAAACUAAUAGACGUAGCAUGUUGAUCGUGUCAUUUUGUUGCUACUGUUUUCUGUGUGUCAAGUAUUUAUUCCUAUGACCAUGAGAUCAUAUAACUCACUGACACCGGAGGAAUGCUUUGUGUGUAUCAAACGUCGCAACGUAACUGGGUGACUAUAAAGAUGCUCUACAGGUAUCUCCGAAGGUGUUAGUUGAGUUAGUAUGCAUCAAGACUGAGAUUUGUCACUCCGUGUGACGGAGAGGUAUCUCGGGGCCCACUCGGUAAUACAACAUCACACACAAGCCUUGCAAGCAAUGUAACUUAGUGUAAGUUACGGGAUCUUGUAUUACGGAAUGAGUAAAGAGACUUGCCGGUAAACGAGAUUGAAAUAGGUAUGCGGAUACUGACGAUCGAAUCUCGGGCAAGUAACAUACCGAAGGACAAAGGGAAUGACAUACGGGAUUAUACGAAUCCUUGGCACUGAGGUUCAAACGAUAAGAUCUUCGUAGAAUAUGUAGGAUCCAAUAUGGGCAUCCAGGUCCCGCUAUUGGAUAUUGACCGAGGAGUCUCUCGGGUCAUGUCUACAUAGUUCUCGAACCCGCAGGGUCUGCACACUUAAGGUUCGACGUUGUUUUAUGCGUAUUUGAGUUAUAUGGUUGGUUACCGAAUGUUGUUCGGAGUCCCGGAUGAGAUCACGGACGUCACGAGGGUUUCCGGAAUGGUUCGGAAACGAAGAUUGAUAUAUAGGAUGACCUCAUUUGAUUACCGGAAGGUUUUCGGAGUUACCGGGAAUGUACCGGGAAUGACGAAUGGGUUCCGGGAGUUCACCGGGGGGGCAACCCACCCCGGGGAAGCCCAUAGGCAUUGGGGGAGCCACACCAGCCCUUAGUGGGCUGGUGGGACAGCCCACAAGUGCCCAAUGCACCAAGAGAAGAAAAAUCAAGAGGAAAGGCAAAAAAAGGAAGGAGGUGGGAAGGAAGGGGGACUCCUCCCACCAAACCAAGUCCAACUCGGUUUGGGGGGGAAGUCCUCCCCCCCUUUGGCUCGGCCGACUCCUUGGGGGUCCUUGGACCCCAAGGCAGGGCCCCCUCUCUCCCACCUAUAUAUACGGAGGUUUUAGGGCUGAUUUGAGACGAUUUUUCUCACGGCUGCCCGACCACAUACCUCCACGGUUUUUCCUCUAGAUCGCGUUUCUGCGGAGCUCGGGCGGAGCCCUGCUGAGACAAGGUCAUCACCAACCUCCGGAGCGCCGUCAUGCUGCCGGAGAACUCUUCUACCUCUCCGUCUCUCUUGCUAGAUCAAGAAGGCCGAGAUCAUCGUCGAGCUGUACGUGUGCUGAACGCGGAGGUGCCGUCUGUUCGGUACUAGAUCGUGGGACUGAUCGCGGGAUUGUUCGCGGGGUGGAUCGAGGGACGUGAGGACGUUCCACUACAUCAACCGCGUUCACUAACGCUUCUGCUGUACGAUCUACAAGGGUACGUAGAUCACUCAUCCCCUCUCGUAGAUGGACAUCACAAUGAUAGGUCUUCGUGCGCGUAGGAAAAUUUUUGUUUCCCAUGCGACGUUCCCCAAAAGUGGCAUCAUGAGCCAGGUUCAUGCGUAGAUGUCUUCUCGAGUAGAACACAAAAGUUUUUGUGGGCGGUGAUGUGCGUUUUGCUGCCCUCCUUAGUCUUUUCUUGAUUCCGCGGUAUUGUUGGAUUGAAGCGGCUUGGACCGACAUUACUCGUACGCUUACGAGAGACUGGUUUCAUCGUUACGAGUAACCCCCUUUGCUCAAAGAUGACUGGCAAGUGACGGUUUCUCCAACUUUAGUUGAAUCGGAUUUGACCGAGGAGGUCCUUGGAUGAGGUUAAAUAGCAACUCAUAUAUCUCCGUUGUGGUGUUUGCGUAAGUAAGAUGCGAUCCUACUAGAUACCCUUGGUCACCACGUAAAACAUGCAACAACAAAAUUAGAGGACGUCUAACUUGUUUUUGCAGGGUAUGAUUGUGAUGUGAUAUGGCUAAUGAUGUGAUGUGAUAUAUUGGAUGUAUGAGAUGAUCAUGUUGUAAUAGAAAUAUCGACUUGCACAUCGAUGGUACGGCAACCGGCAGGAGCCAUAGGGUUGUCUUUAUACUAACGUUUGUGCUUGCAGAUGCGUUUACUAUUUUGCUAGGAUGUAGCUUUAGUAGUAAUAGCAUGAGUAGCACGACAACCCCGGUGGCAACACGUUGAUGGAGAUCAUGGCGUGGCGCUGGUGACAAGAAGAUCGUGCCGGUGCUUUGGUGAUGGAGAUCAAGAAGCACGUGAUGAUGGCCAUAUCAUGUCACUUAUGAAUUGCAUGUGAUGUUAAUCCUUUUUUGCACCUUAUUUUGCUUAGAACGACGGUAGCAUUAUGAGGUGAUCUCUCACUAAAAUUUCAAGACGAAAUUGUGUUCUCCCCGACUGUGCACCGUUGCUACAGUUCGUCGUUUCGAGACACCACGUGAUGAUCGGGUGUGAUAGACUCAACGUUCACAUACAACGGGUGCAAAACAGUUGCGCACGCGGAACACUCGGGUUAAGCUUGAUGAGCCUAUCAUGUGCAGACAUGGCCUCGGAACACAUGAGACCGAAAGGUCGAUCAUGAAUCAUAUAGAUGAUAUGAUUAGCAUAGGGAUGCUUACCACUGAAACUAUGCUCAACUCACGUGAUGAUCGGACUUGAGCUAGUGUAAGUGGAUCAUGAACCACCCAAAUGACUAGAGAGAUGUACUUUUUGAGUGGGAGUUUAGCGAAUAAUUUGAUUAAGUUAAACUCUAAUUAUCUUGAACAUAGUCUAAGUCCACUUUGAAUAUAUUUGUUGUAGAUCAUGGCUCACGCGAGUGUCAUCCUGAAUUUUAAUACAUUCCUAGAGAAAGCUAAGUUGAAAGAUGAUGGAAGCAACUUUGUAGACUGGACUCGUAAUCUUAAGCUAAUCUUACAAGCUGGGAAGAAGGAUUAUGUCCUUAAUGCUGCGCUAGGAGAUGAACCACCCGCUACGGCUGAUCAGGAUGUUAAGAACACUUGGUUAGCACGUAAGGAGGACUACUCAAUAGUUCAAUGUGCAGUCUUGUAUGGCUUAGAGCCGGGACUUCAACGUCGCUUUGAGCGUCAUGGAGCAUUUGAGAUGUUCCAGGAGUUGAAGUUUAUCUUUCAGAAGAACGCCCGGAUCGAGAGGUAUGAGACCUCCGAUAAAUUCUAUGCUUGCAAUAUGGAGGAAAACUCGUCUGUCAGUGAACAUGUGCUCAAAAUGUCUGGGUACUCAAACCGUCUAGCUGAGCUGGGGAUUGAACUCCCGCAAGAGGCUAUCACUGACAGAAUCCUUCAAUCACUGUCGCCAAGCUAUAAAGGCUUUGUGUUGAACUACAACAUGCAAGGGAUGAACAAGUCUCCCGGCGAGUUGUUUGCGAUGCUAAAAGUCGCAGAGUCUGAACUCCGUAAAGAGCAUCAAGUGUUGAUGGUGAGCAAGACCACUAGUUUCAAGAGAAACGGCAAAGGCAAGAAGGGCAAUUCGAAGAAGAGCGGCAAGCCUGUUGCCAAUCCACCGAAGAAACCCAAGGCUGGACCUAAGCCUGAAACAGAGUGCUUCUAUUGCAAGGGUAUGGGUCACUGGAAGCGCAAUUGCCCCAAUUAUCUGGCAGAUAAGAAGGCGGGCAAAGAAAAAUCAGGUAUAUUUGAUAUACAUGUUAUUGAUGUGUAUUUAACCGGCUCUCGUAGUAGUGCCUGGGUAUUUGAUACCGGUUCUGUUGCUCAUGUUUGCAACUCGAAACAGGAACUGCGGAAUAGACGAAGGCUGGCGAAAGACGAAGUGACGAUGCACGUAGGAAAUGGUUCCAAGGUUGAUGCAAUCGCCGUCGGCACAGUGUCACUUCAGCUACCAUCGGGAUUAGUGAUGAACUUAAAUCAUUGUUAUUUAGUGCCUGCGUUGAGCAUGAACAUUAUAUCUGGAUCUUGUUUAUUGCGAGACGGUUACUCUUUUAAGUCUGAGAAAAAUGGUUGUUCUAUUUCUAUGAGUAACAUAUUUUAUGGUCAUGCACCGAAUGUGAGAGGAUUGUUCAUAUUGAAUCUUGAUAGCGAUACGCAUAUACAUAACAUUGAGACCAAAAGAGUUAGAGUAAACAAUGAUAGCGCCAUAUUUUUGUGGCACUGCCGCUUGGGUCAUAUUGGUGUAAAGCGCAUGAAGAAACUCCAUGCUGAUGGACUUUUGGAGUCACUUGACUUUGAUUCACUUGACACGUGCGAACCAUGCCUCAUGGGCAAGAUGACUAAGACUCCGUUCUCCGGAACAAUGGAGCGUGCAAGUGACUUGUUGGAAAUCAUACAUACCGAUGUGUGUGGUCCAAUGAGCGUAGAGGCACACGGCGGAUAUCGUUAUUUUCUCACCUUCACUGACGAUUUAAGUAGAUAUGGUUAUGUCUACUUGAUGAAACACAAGUCUGAAACAUUUGAAAAGUUCAAGAAAUUUCAGAGUGAAGUGGAAAAUCAUCAUAACAAGAAGAUCAAGUUCCUACGGUCUGAUCGUGGGGGUGAAUAUCUGAGUUUCGAGUUUGGUGCUCACUUAAGACAAUGUGGAAUUGUUUCGCAGUUAACACCGCCUGGAACACCACAGCGUAAUGGUGUGUCCGAACGUCGUAAUCGUACUUUCUUAGAGAUGGUGCGAUCUAUGAUGUCUCUUACUGAUUUGCCGUUAUCAUUUUGGGGUUAUGCAUUAGAAACAGCUGCAUUCACUUUAAAUAGGGCACCAUCAAAAUCCGUUGAGACGACACCAUACGAACUGUGGUAUGGCAAAAGGCCAAAGUUGUCGUUUCUUAAAGUUUGGGGAUGUGAUGCUUAUGUCAAAAAGCUUCAGCCUGAAAAGCUGGAACCCAAAGUGGAAAGGUGCCUCUUCAUAGGUUACCCAAAAGAGACAGUUGGGUACACCUUCUAUCUCAAAUCCGAGGGCAAAGUGUUUGUUGCUAAAAACGGAGCUUUUCUCGAGAAGGAGUUUCUCUCGAGAGAAUUGAGUGGGAGGAAGAUAGAACUUGACGAGGUUGUCGAACCUUUCAUCCCUCUGGAUGGUGGCGCAGGGCAAGGGGAAACCUCUAUCGUUGCGACGCCGGUUGAGGAGGAAGUUAAUGAUGAUGAUCAUGAAACUCCAGUUCAAGUUUCUAUUGAACCACGCAGGUCGACGAGAUCACGCGCUGCUCCAGAGUGGUACGGUAAUCCCGUCUUAUCAAUCAUGUUGUUAGACAACAAUGAACCUGCAAAUUAUGAAGAAGCAAUGGUGGGCCCAGAUUCCAACAAAUGGCUAGAAGCCAUGAAAUCCGAGAUAGGAUCCAUGUAUGAGAACAAAGUGUGGACUUUGGAGAUACUACCUGAGGGCCGCAAGGCUAUUCAGAACAAAUGGAUCUUUAAGAAGAAGACGGACGCUGACGGUAAUGUGACCGUUUAUAAAGCUCGACUUGUGGCAAAGGGUUUUUCACAAGUUCCAGGAGUUGACUACGAUGAGACUUUCUCACCCGUAGCGAUGCUUAAGUCCGCCAGAAUCAUGUUAGCAAUAGCUGCAUUUUUCGAUUAUGAAAUCUGGCAGAUGGAUGUCAAAACGGCGUUCCUUAACGGUUUCCUUAAGGAAGAGUUGUAUAUGAUGCAACCCGAAGGUUUUGUCGAUCCUAAAAAUGCUGAUAAAGUGUGCAAGCUCCAGCGAUCCAUUUAUGGACUGGUGCAAGCAUCUCGGAGUUGGAACAAACGCUUUGAUGAGGUGAUCAAAGCAUUUGGGUUUAUACAAGUGGUUGGAGAAUCCUGUAUUUACAAGAAAGUGAGUGGGAGCUCUGUGGCGUUUCUAAUAUUAUAUGUGGAUGACAUAUUACUGAUUGGAAACAAGGUAGAGCUUUUGGAGAGCAUAAAAGGUUACUUGAAUAAAAGUUUCUCUAUGAAGGACCUAGGAGAAGUUGCUUACAUUCUAGGCAUUAAGAUCUAUAGGGAUAGAUCAAAAAGCCUGAUAGAACUUUCACAAAGCACAUACCUUGAUAAAGUUUUGAAGAGGUUCAAAAUGGAGCAGUCCAAGAAAGGGUUCUUGCCAGUUUUACAAGGUACGAGAUUGAGUAAGACUCAGUGCCCAGCAACUGAUGAAGAUAGAGAGCAUAUGCGCUCCGUCCCCUAUGCUUCAGCCAUAGGUUCUAUCAUGUAUGGGAUGCUGUGCACUAGACCGGAUGUUAGCCUGGCCAUAAGUAUGGCAGGUAGGUUCCAGAGUAAUCCAGGAGUGGAUCACUGGACAGCGGUCAAGAAUAUCCUGAAGUACCUGAAAAGGACUAAGGAGAUGUUUCUCGUCUAUGGAGGUGACGAAGAGCUCGCCGUAAAAGGUUACGUCGAUGCAAGCUUUGACACAGAUCCGGACGACUCUAAGUCGCAAACCGGAUACGUAUUUAUUCUUAAUGGGGGUGCAGUAAGCUGGUGCAGUUCCAAGCAAAGCGUCGUAGCAGAUUCUACAUGUGAAGCGGAGUACAUGGCUGCCUCGGAGGCGGCUAAGGAGGGUGUCUGGAUGAAGCAGUUCAUGACGGAUCUUGGAGUGGUGCCAAGUGCACUGGAUCCAAUAACCUUAUUCUAUGACAACACUGGUGCCAUUGCCUUAGCAAAGGAACCAAGGUUUCACAAGAAGACCAGACACAUCAAACGACGCUUCAACCUCAUCCGCGACUACGUCGAGGAGGAGGACGUAAAUAUAUGCAAAGUGCACAUGGAUCCUCUCCCUAUAGUGNNNNNNNNNNNNNNNNNNNNNNNNNNNNNNNNNNNNNNNNNNNNNNNNNNNNNNNNNNNNNNNNNNNNNNNNNNNNNNNNNNNNNNNNNNNNNNNNNNNNAUAGCCAGCCGAUGAUCCCCUCCACUCUCGUCUCGUCGCACACGCCGCUCCGUCCAUCACCUGGCUCGCCGUUGUCUUUGUGGUCUGCAGGCGAGGACGUGGAGCGCGCACAGGGCCCACGACAACGUCGCCAGGAGCCUCCGCGCCGUGGAGGCCGUCGUGCGGCACCUCGACGGCGUGCGCGAGGUACGUUCGAUGGGUUCUUCUGCCUUGCUUUCGAUCGGUUUGCUCGUCGCCGGCCGUCGUCCUGCGCCGCCGUCGCCGGCGGCGAUGGCGAUUUCGUCGUGGUGUCUGCUUCUAGACCGGGAGCAUGGGUCGACUAGUCGUGGGGUCCAACAGAGUCGUCCGCCCGCGUUGAUCCAUUCCACGGGCACGGACGCGCUAUUUCCGACGCCAAUCACCUGGCCUGGGCCGGCCCAGUACCAGUGUUUCUCGGCGCGAGGCCCAGAUAUGUGUCGGGCCGUCCCAGCGCGUCGUGCUGGGCCAAAUGCGUGAUCUGUUUCCCGUCGUCUCUCCCCACACCGGGCUCCGGCCCGGCCCCCAUUCCCCAGAUGGGUCGGAGCCGCCCCCUACUCCGGCGGGGCGGCGACGUGCGGGACGCGAGGGGUCNNNNNNNNNNNNNNNNNNNNNNNNNNNNNNNNNNNNNNNNNNNNNNNNNNNNNNNNNNNNNNNNNNNNNNNNNNNNNNNNNNNNNNNNNNNNNNNNNNNNGCUCGCGGCCAGGUAAACCCGCUGUCCCACGCCCGGACCUCGAGCCGAUCCGGUGGCCCGUCCUUUCCCCCGAUUCGCGUGCCGCUGCCGCAGAUCUGUGUCGCAUGUCGCUGUUUCCCGCCUGAUCCGUGUCCAAGCCCGCGUCGCGAUGCGCUGUGCGUGUGUAUGUUUGUCGAAUCGUGCUUGUUCAUACGGCUGGUUUACGAUUACCUCAAUAAAAAAAUGCGUCUGGUUUAGGUGCUGGGUAGGUUGGUGAGGCGUCCAGAUGGACCAGAUCCAUGCAUGCGAACCUAGGGCCGGCUCUGACGCCGUUGCAUGCCUGCGACGUUCGCCGGGGUCGUUAAUUGGCGAUGGGAAUGUCACCAAAAUAUUGUCUUAGCGGUCUAAUUCUGUUACUUUCUGGAUAAGGCCGCCUGAUUUCAUAUUUUGAAUAUGACACAUGUCUGCUGCGUCUAGGAUGUCUAUGCGGAUCAAGAAAGCAACAGAUUGUCUUAGUGGCCAGUGGGAGGUGUUUUUUUUUGUUUUCUGGCCUGCCAUGCUUUCCGGCCAUUAAUUUACACGCAUGUGAAUAGUUCCUUUACAGUUUAUAUGCCCCGCCUCUCCAUUGUGCAGUAGCAAUGGCGACAAAGUGCAUCAUCGGCGCGCUGAUCGGAUCCUUGGGCGUUGCGUACGUCUCCGACACGAUCGUUUCUGACAAGAAGAUCUUUGGAGGUGAGUAGUGCCAUGCUGUGUUACAUAUAUACAUGCCCUUAGGAUGCUUGUGCCUCACCUCUUGUAAGAAUUCAUAUAAUCUCUGCUUCUUACUUUUGAAAAUAGGGACUGUUUGCAAGACCGCGACCGACAAGGAGUGGUUUCAGGCCACGGACGCCAAGUUCCAGGCCUGGCCUCGCACCGCUGGGGGGAACCCCAUCAGCCGCCAGAACUUCAUCGUCAAGAACCCCUGAAUAGGUGGCACAAGCGGCAUCUUGCUCCCACCAUGGGAGCCCAAGUUUAGUUUCUUUUUUGGGUUUUGAAGUUCCUAAUAAAAGGGACUUGAAAGUCAGGGUCUACUCUUUUGUUUUACAAAUUUCAGUUUCCGUGAGCAACUUUGAGGUGCUUUACAGCUCGCUCGCUCGGAUUCGGAUUCGGGCCAGACGGAGGAAGUCUUUAUAAGAGCUUGCCGUGAUAAUGACUCUCCUAAAACCCUUAUUUGCGGUUAAUUGUUAAUUGGAUCUACACUUUUGUUGGAUCCACAUCUUUGAAAGAAGACUAGUUUGGGUCUUUCGAUGAACUCUGUUCCUCGAUGAAAUUAUCCACUAGACAGUAAAAUAACUGCAUUGUUGUUUCCGGACUGUCUUUCAUGUGUUGUGGUUCUUCCUGAUCUGAUGCUCCAAGUUUAUGCUGUGAUGUUAACGAGUCUAUUGUUUUUGACCCUUAGCAUGGUGGACUGGCGGUGCACUAUAAUUCUUUUUUGCUUGUGCUGCUAAUAUGCACAAUGGUAAACUAUUGUUUAGAAGAAUUCAUCAGCUGCUGUUCUGCUGCUGUUAUUUGCGAUGCUAAACCAUUAUUGACAAGCAUUCAUCUACUGCUGUUAGAUUGAAUAUCAUUCUGUGAUAUCCUGCUGAAAAUGCUGGACACAGCUUUAGUAUUGUAGCACAUCAAUGCCCACCGAAGCCCAACUAUGGCCCAACACUAGUACAGGUAUCUGUGAUCUUCAUAUUGUUUUUCGUUUUUGACAAGAACUGUGCGAGCAACAGAACUUUGUGUUGUGAGAAAGGUAACAUGAUGACCACAAGCCAUUCACAUGACCCAACGUUCUUGAUCAGCUGAAAUGGUUUACAUGCAGAUUUCUGUAAAAUUGGGAGAUGGUAACUGGAACAUCAGAUUUCAAAUUUGCUUGCUUCUAGAUGGAAAGCACAUGAAAGGGGCGAACAAAAUACAUGAUGACAAAAGGACAAAGCGAACAAAAAAUAACAGAAUUGACAUACUUUUGCCGCGAUUAUGCGCAUUCGCAAACCAUCAUAGUAAUUGGCAAGAAUAUAUCAGGGCAUAUCAUUUUUUUUAGGCUCAGCUGGAGUAUUGCAGUAAAUCAGUGCCCACUGAAGCCCAACUAUGGCCCAACAUUCGUACAAGUCUCUGUGCCUGUGAUCUUUGUAUUUACAGAAGCUAUUUUCCCUUCUUUGGCCAGAACUGUGCGAGCAACUGAGAAUUAAUUUGUGUUUUGAACAAUGUAACACAAUGGCCAUGAGCCGCUCAUGAAUCUGAAGUUAUUGAUCCGCCAAAAUAUUUUAAAUGCCAACAUUACAUCAGGCUCUUCUUCUUUUUUUUGCGGGGGAUUACAUCAGGCUCUUGACACAACGGAUUUCUGUAAAAUUAGGGGCAUGCAUAUAUGGAGCAGAUUAAAAUCUUUAUCUAAUAAUAAAGAGGCUAUCGCUUCCGUCGGAAAACCCAUCGAGGUGAUUUUACAAAAAAGUCCUUACUGUUUAUGACAUUAAACUCGUAGUAUAUAUUAAAAUAUAUUUUUAAAUACUCAUAUCUUUUAAACCGUAACUCCAAAUUAAACAUAUUAUACAUGGGAUUUGAUUAGAAAAAUAUGUAGAAUUUAAAUAUGAUAUUAUUUUAUCUGUUAAACAUUUAAUAAAAAUACUAUCUAGGGUGCAAUCUUAAUAAAUAAGUCAUUAUUCGUCUUUCUUUCAUACCGGUACUCAUCCGGGUUGGGGAUGAGCACGUCAACAAAAUCAAGAUUAGAGAUGAAAUUGAAGGUCACUUGACUGAUUCUUUGUACGUAUUAAAUCUACAUGCAAGCCGUGUUAAAAUAGAAGAUCUGUGAAAUUUUGAACUGCAUUUUUGUAGGAUAAGACCAUCUUUAUUUGUAUCGUAACUAUAAAUUUUCAAAUUAUAGACAUUUUUUAUAAAUUAAGAGCGUGUGUCGUGUGGUAUUUCUUUCUCCCGUUGCAACGCAUGGGCCCUUUUGCUAGUUAUGGUAAUAUGAGCAUCUGAAAGAUUUGCUUUGGGAUGUGAAGCACAUGAAAGGGGCCACACAUGAUGACAAACGGGCAAGCUAAAAAACGCGGAAUUGGAUGACUGUAGUACGUGAUGAGGCACAAUCAAACAAUGGCAAACAAAUCUUCAAUGAAAGUGGGCAGCUCCUCCAUACGUUGAUGGAGGGGAAGAUAAAAGCAAGGAUAUACUGUAUAUGAUAGGAAAUGAAAGUUUUCGCUGGAAAAAAAGAGGAAUUGUAGCUCAAAUGCAACACAGAACUUUUUAGUCGUCACAAGUUCGCAGGAAAAAAAGAUAGAACUGCAUCCUCACAAAAGUACUCAACAUAUGGCCCUAUAGUUUUGGUACAAUAUAUACAACAUAUCACUUGGUCCGCUAACAAAACCCCAUCUCGGAUCCUAUAUGGCGCGCCGACUAUUUCUCGCAUUAAGCGCCAACUUAGAAAGCACUCGCAGGAGGGUGUAGAGUAGUUGGGCCGGUCCAUUUUCGUGCACAAUGAAACGGGAGAGGACUCGCUACGAUGACCACUAUGACCAUGUCAUGCACACGAGUUGGUGCGAUGUGUACUUGAGGCAUUUGUAUAGUAAUAUUUUUUGGGUUUAAGUUGCACAGCAAACAGAACCACAACUAAAUAGGAUCGACGCACCAUUGCCAACACUGUCAACUGAUUAUUUAGUGGUACACUGAGCGGCAGCAAGAAGAAGGUACCGAAAAACUCGAAGUAUAGAACAUACAAGAAAGUAAGUGAACUAAUCCAUGCUUUACAUAUUUGGUCACUAUAGCCGUCAUAUGAAUAGAAAAUCAAAUGAAACUUACUUGCUUCCUCCUCUAGGUUCCAAUCAUCAUGGUCAUCAAACUCGAUAUUCUGCAUAGUGCAGCCAUAUGAGCCAUAUUUACAAUAUGAAAGACAAAGAAAUGAUGCAUCACUGGUCUAUCAUUUCAUAAUGGGCACCCUUUCAUAUUUGUCCAUGUGAAGGAACACAUAUACAUCAUAUAGUUUCCCGAAAAUCAUGAGGCUUUUAAAACACUUUUUUCUACCACAAAGAAUACCUCAGUGCAUAAAGAUUUGAAGUACUAAUCUAUUUAUAAUUUUCAUCCCAUCUUUCUUCAUCUUCCACUUCCCACUUUUCUUAUAUCACCGUCCUUUUUGAUCUUACCCUCUCCAUACUACUAAGUACCCAAUCUCUAUCAGCACAAUGACGUAAGCAUAAUCUCACUAUUUCCGUAAUGUGUAAUGUCAAACAGAGUAUAAGACUUCAAACCAGUUAUAUUGUAUCUACAUUACGAAGAUGUUUUCCAGACUGAUUCCAAUAACUCGAAAAUAAAACUAAAAGGUAAUGAUGUAUUUGCUUGAGCUUCCCUUCAAUUUUCUCAAAUAGUUCAAAUGACUGGCAAAUAAAGAUGGCAAGAUCCAUGAAAAGGAUCAAUGUAUGUACACCUAAAUAAUAUCUAGCCUAGAAGUGUUCGUUUAAGUUUCACUGCUUCCAUAGACAUGCCGAUAGGAUGGUGUAAACAAAAUAGUUUCCUUAAAAAAAGAUGCUAGAAGAUGUCAUAGGCAUGAACAGAGGUUUGUGACAGAAGAAGUUGUGAUUCUAGCAAACCUGCCACUCUAUCUCACCAAAGUUGCCUCCUAUUAGAAACAUUUCGGUAUCUUUGUCAUCAUUCUGCAUUUUUCAUUACAGCGGCUUCGUUGUCCCAUUCAUGCAGUUGCAUACGUCCAAGAAGGACGGAAAUAUCACAACCGUAGAAAGAAAAUGUCCGUCAGCAUCACAAUUCAAAUCUGAAGCGCAGAUAGUAGGAACAUGCUAGACAAUGUGCGUCAGCAUCACAAGACCAAACAAAAAGGCUGGAUGGAUAUGGUGGUAGUUUUAUCCACAUAAACCUGCACAAGAAGUGAAAGCAGAGGUUGAAUGUCGUGAGAACACAAACAUACAAGCACGAUCACCACACUUCAAGAUAAAAUUAAUUCAAGAAUGAAACCAGAUGCACGCGUGCGCAAACAGAACCUUUUAGAAGAGGAAUUGAGGAUCCCGAGGAGGGGGGCACGUGUCUGGCGGGGCUAUGCCAACUCUCGAUGUUCAACAGGUGCCACCAGAUCCCAUUCCCCAUGGUCAUCGGCCCCCAUUGUUGAAACAUGCCUAAUACUCAACACACGACGGUGGCCCAACUUGGCUCCCAAGCAAGCCCGGCAUGGCGAAGACCUGACAAUGCAUGCACGUCCGCAUGCCUCGGGAUCACUACCUACCUCGCACGCCAUCUGCCGAUCGCUGACCUGCUCCUUAGGGUUUCGGUUAGCUGCUGAUGAACUGCCCUGUAUAAGUACCGAUAGUAUAGAUUGAAUAAAUGUGUGCAGUCUCAAAACCUCUCUCUCAAAUAUUACAUGGUAUAAGUUUUCUUCUGAUCCUCUCGCUUCCGCUCUCCACCGCCGUCAUGGCUUCCCCCCGCUCCUCUCUCUCCGGUGAGGUCAAUCCCUUUCCCGUCCUCGAGCCUGCCUCUGCAGCUAGCCUUCGGCUCAUCCACAUCCAAGAUCACGUCCCCGUCGUCCUGGAUCUCCACACCCCUUCCUUCUCCACCUGGCGCACUUAUUUCUCGUUGACCUUCCGCGAAUUUCAAAUUCGGGAUCAUGUCGACGUCUCGAUUGACGCCCGCGUCAUGCGCGACGACGCCAACUGGAUGGGGGUCGACGCCACUAUCAUUAAGUGGCUAUACCGCACCGUCAGCAAAGAGAUCUUCUCGCACGUCACCCGCAACGACGACUCGACCCUCGAUGUUUCGACCUCCAUCUGCCAACUCUUCCUCGACAACCAGCUACAGCGCCAUGUGCUUCUCACGAACGAGUUCUACAGCCUCUCCCAGGACGGUAUGGGGCUCUUCGACUACUGCCUCCGCCUCAAGGUGCUCGCCGACGAGCUCCGAGACGUGGGCGCCCCGGUCUCCGACGCCACCAUGCUCACGAACACGAUCCGCGGGCUCGGUCCGGACUACGCCAACACUUCUUCCUACCUCAACCUCCUCACCGAGUCGAAGUUCGCCCGCGCCGUCAACUACCUGCGUCUUGAGGAGCGACGGAUGCGGCAGUCUUCUCUACAGCGGAACCAGUCUGCCCUCCCCGCACGCACCGCUUCACCAGCGCCUCCCGCGGCUCCUCCCGCGACACCCCCCGCGGCCGGCACCUCUCCACUCAGCCACGCCCGCAAGAAGAAGCGGGGCUCCGAUGGUCGCACGAGUACCGCCGGGUGUCCCUCCACGCCAUCCAGUCCCGCUCCUGCGCCCUGGUUCGGGGUGUCAAUCCCUGGACAGGUGUCGUUCAUGCGUGGGCCUUGCCGCCGGCGCGCGCGCCCCACCCUGGCAUCCUCGGCUCACGUCCCGUGAGCCACCAAGCUCUGCUGGCUGCCUCUCCGUCUUGUGGCUACCCACGCUGGCCCCCAACACAUGGCCGCGCGUGCCUCCUACGCACUGGCUCGGCAACUCCGGCGGGGCAUCCACCUCCUAUGAUCCCACGCUCCUGACGGCCCUACAUCAGGCUCCCUCGCCGGCCACCUACACCGGCAACCUCGACUGGUUCAUGGACACUGGCGCGUCCUCACACAUGGCCUCCCACCCUGGUAUCCUUUCCCAGUCUUAGCCCUUCCCUACGUCUACUCGCAUCGUGGUGGGUGAUGGCUCUUCUCUCCCCAUCACACACCGCGGUGAUCUCUCCCUCUCCUCCCACUCUCCCAUUAAACUCUAUGAUGUGCUUGUUUCUCCUCAGCUCAUUACUAACCUUGUUCUUCACGUGCACACGGCUGAACAAUUCAGCGACGUCAUGACCAAAGGGCUUCCACCGUCGGUGUUCUGGGAAUUUCGCUCCAGCCUCUGCAUCUCCGACGACGAGGGGGGGGGGGGGUGUUGAAACGGGCCUAAUACUCAGCCCACGCCAGUGGCCCAACUUGGCUCCCAAGCAAGCCCAGCAUGGCGAAGACCUGGCAACGCAUGCACGUCCGCAUGCAUGGGGAUCGCUACCCACCUCGCACGCCAUCUGCUGAUCGCUGAUCUGCUCCUCAGGGUUUCGGUUAGCUGCUGAUGAACUGCCCUGUAUAAGUACCGAUGGUAUAGAUUGAAUAAAUGUGUGCAGUCUCAAAACCUCUCUGUCAAAUCUUACACCCAUCACGCCGGGAGGGCAUGUCAUCCAGGGAGAUAGAUGAGAGGAGUGUGUCGUCGCCGCCAAUAUCACGUCGUGGUCAAUGCGAUAGAGAUGAUCGGGAAGCAAGGAUCUAGGGUUGCGGUUCCUCGACGACGACAAUGGGACGCUCGAACGAGUGGCGACCGAAAGCGGUGGGUGAAGAGGUCUAGGUGUGGAGGCUUGUGCAAUUAAUGGGGAGGGGAGGAACGCGAUUGUAGAUUGCAGGAGGAGGGUGCAGUUGCGACUUAUGAAGGCAUGAGGGGAUCUUGGGAGCGUGGGGCUCGUUGUUGUGCGUUCGAAUCCUGGGUGGCGUGUUUUUUGCCUUUUGUCAGGCUGGGAUGGGGGGCGAUCGUACGUGGGACUGGAGGUUGAAGAGUUUUUUUAUUAAACCGUCUGUUUUUCAAAGGGUUGAAAAAAACGAUGGGAGGUGGGAGGACGUGGGUGGGAGGAGGGGGAGAUCGAUCUGGGUUGAACCAUCACUAUAACGGCAGAUCCCCUUUAAUAGUAGAGAAGUAUGCUUGCACACUGAAUGUAACGAAGUGAUGGCUCGAUGAGACUCCUAGUUUCUUACUCACCAGCUUUCUGGUUGAUUGUCCUAGAACGGCAUUUUUAUGAGAAUUGUCCGAACAAGAAAAGAACCCAUGCACAAUACUGCUUUUUUUACGACGGUGCCGGUGCUUUACGGGACGUGCCAGCCUUAAUCCCUCAAACUAGUUUUAAGGGUUGAGAAUUUGCAUUUUUUGGCACUUUUAAGGGUUGAAAAACAGGGGCAAAGACUAGAACUCUCAAACCCAACCCUUAUAACAAAAACAGGGGCAAAAACAAAAGAGCUCAGGGCGGCGCGGCUGCCUCUGGCCCGCCNNNNNNNNNNNNNNNNNNNNNNNNNNNNNNNNNNNNNNNNNNNNNNNNNNNNNNNNNNNNNNNNNNNNNNNNNNNNNNNNNNNNNNNNNNNNNNNNNNNNGAUCAGAUUAUCUAUGAUAUAUAUUUGAGUCUUUGCUGAUUUCUUAUAUGCAUGAUUUGAUAUCCUUGUAAGUCUCUCCGAGUCUUGGGUUUUGUUUGGCCAACUAGAUCUAUGAUUCUUGCAAUGGGAGAAGUGCUUGGUUUUGGGUUCUACCAUGUGGUGACCUUUCCCAGUGACAGUAGGGGCACCAAGGCACACAUCAAGUAGUUGCCAUCAAGGGUAACAAGAUGGGGUUUUCAUCAUUGGUUUGAGAUUAUCCCUCUACAUCAUGUCAUCUUGCUUAAGGCGUUACUCUGUUCUUAUGGACUUAAUACACUAGAUGCAUGCUGGAUAGCGGUCGACCUGUGGAGUAACAGUAGUAGUUGCAGAAAGUAUCGGUCUACUUGUUUUGGACGUGAUGCCUAUAGAUAUAAUCAUUGCAUAGAUACCGUCACGACUUUGCGGUUCUAUCAAUUGCUCGAUAGUAAUUUGUUCACCCACCGUCUACUUGCUUUCAUGAGAGAAGCCAUUAGUAAACACUACGGCUCCCGGGUCUAUUCACAUCCAUCGUUUACACCUCUGCUUUUACUUUGCUUUGUUAGUUUGUUGCUUUCAGUUCUCACUUGGCAAACAAUCUAUAAGGGAUUGACAACCCCUUCAUAGCGUUGGGAGCAAGCUUUUGUGUUUGUGCAGGAUCUUGUGAUACUCCUCCACCGGAUUGAUACCUUGGUUCUCAAACUGAGGGAAAUACUUACCACCGCUGUGCUACAUCACCCUUUCCGCUUCGAGGAACACCAACGCAAGGCUCCAAGGCCACGGGGGAAAUCCUUUGCAUACUUUCCUAGGAAGUCCCUUAAGGCGUAGCCUCAUCUGAAGGAUUCCUGGUGUCGUCGACACGACUAUUUCUGGCGCCGUUGCAAGGGAAGCACAGCUGACAUCAGAAGUAUUUCCGGCGCCGUUGCCGGGGAGGAGAAAUCAAGAUCUAUCCAAGUAGGUCUCGUUUUCCUAUCCCCCACUUCACAUUUGCCGUUUUCAUUUGCCUUUUUUCGUUCGCCCUUUUCUCUCGCUUGCUUUCUGUUCGCUUGUGUGCCAUGUGCCUUCAAUAUGUUUGCAUCUUCGUUUGUUAAUCUCUUUAAGAGACCCACUUAUGUGGAACGAAUUGCUAGUGAGUUGAAGACACUUGACUAUCUUUAUGGAGUUUUGCUUGAGAGGCGUGAAUCUGAAAAUUGUGUGGAAGAAAAUUAUGAAGUGAUUCACGAGGGUUCCAUGGAUGAAAAGCAUGAUUGCAAUGGUUUCACUAUAAAUUCUAUUAGUGAUAAUUAUGCUAAAAUUAUGCAAAAACCCUAAGCUUGGGGAUGCUAGUUUUGCUUUGACCACUACUUGUUGCAAAGAUCAUGAUUGUGGUGAGGAUUUUUCUUCUGAUCUUGAAAAUUUGUUCAAGCCUCAAGAUGAAUAUGAUAUUUGCAAUAUUAUUGAAAGUGGGUUUGGAGAAGUCAUGACUUUAGAUGAUAAUCCCACUAUUUUUGAAGAGCGUCAACUUUGCAUGCAUGUGGAUCAUGAAAAGAAUAUCCUAUGGGAUAGCUAUAUUGUCGAAUUUGAAUAUGAUCCCACGUGUAAUUGCUAUGAGAGAGGAAAAUAUUUUGGUAGAAACUUUCAUGUUACCAAAUUACCUCUCGUUAUGUUGAGAUUGGUAUUGUCUCUUUCUUCUUCCUUGCAUAUGGCAGCUAUUGGUUGUCUUGACAAUUUGUUUUCCUAUAAAAUGCCUAUGCAUAGGAAGUAUGUUAGACUUAGAUGUGAUUUUCACAUGCUUUACGAUGCUCUCGUUGUGCUUCAAUUCUUGUCUUUUGUGAGAGCAUCAUUCAAUGCCUAGCUAAGGGCGUUAAACAAAAGCGCUUGUUGGGAGGCAACCCAACGAAUUUAUCCUUUUUCUUUCUGUUUUGUGUUUUCCACACUUUCAUAAUUCUGUUAUGAUUGUGUUUUUUGUGUUUCUUUUUGCGUUUGUGCCAAGCAAAACCGUUAUGAUUAGUCUUGGGGAUGAUCGUUUGGUCAUGCUGGAAAAGACAGAAACUUUCUGCUCACGAAAAUAAUUUUCAUUUGUUUUGUGUAAGAGAUUUUGAGUUGAUUCUUUUUGCUGAUGAUUUCUACGCAAAUUCUUCAGAUUGUCGUAAUUUUUCAGAAUUUCUGAAGUACCAGAGGUAUACGAAAUAUACAGAUUUCUACAGACUGGUCUGCUGUUAACAGAUUCUGUUUUUGUUGUGUUGGUUGCUUAUUUUGAUGAAACUAUAGAUAGUAUCGAGGGGUAUUAGCCAUGGAAGAUUUAAAAUACAGUAACCCAACAUCAGCACAAGUAGAGUUUAAGUUUGCUACAGUACCUAAGGAAGUGGUGGUUUGCUUUCUUGUACUAAUGUUAUCACGAGUUUCUGUUUAAGUUUCGUGUUGUGAAGUUUUCAAGUUUUGGGUGAAGUUCUUAUGGACAAAGAGAUAAAGAGUGGCAAGAGCUUAAGCUUGGGGAUGCCCAAGGCACCCCAAGAGAUUCUAGGAUGCCAUAAAAGCCUAAGCUUGGGGAUGCCCCGGGAAGGCAUCCCCUCUCUCGUCUUCAAUCCAUCGGUAACGUUACUUGGGGCUAUAUUUUUAUUCACCACAUGUUAUGUGUUUUUGCUUGGAGCGUCUUGUAUCGUAGGAGUCUUUUAUUUUUGUUGUGUCACAAUCAUCCUUGCUGCACACCUAGAGAGAGAGACAUGCACACACCGUGAUUUUGUCGAGCUUCACUUAUAUCUUUGGGGGGGGGGGGGGGCUAACAUGUGCUUCACUUAUAUCUUUUGAGCUAGAUACUUUUGCUCUAUGUGCUUCACUUAUAUCUUUUAGAGCACAGUGGUGCGUGGCUUGGUAGUUGAUCUAUGCUUUGAAAGUAGUCUCAAAAAGGGUAGUUAUCCAAAGGGAUACGAAAACUUCCACCUUCAUGUGCAUUGAAUAGUUAGAGAUGUUUGAUUCAUCUCAAUUAGUUUUGAGUUGUGGUUAUGGUAAUAUUGAAGUCAUGCUAGUAAGGUGUUGUGGAUCUAUAAAUACUUGUGUUGAAGUUAGUGAUUCCCGUAGCAUGCACGUAUGGUGAACCGCUAUGUGAUGAAAUCUGAGCAUGAUUAGUCUAUUGAUUGUCAUCCUUUGCGUGGCGGUCGGGACCGCGCGAUGGUUUAUACCUACCAACCCUUCCCCUAGGAGUAUGUGUUGAAUGCUUUGUUUCGAUUACUAAUAAAACUUUUACAACAAGUAUAUGAGUUCUUCAUGACUAAUGUUGAGUCCAUGGUUUAUAUGCACUUUCACUUUCCACCAUCACUAUCUUCUUAGUGUCGUGCAACUUUCGCCGGUGCACAAAACCCACCAUUUGCCUCCCUCAAAACAGCCACCAUACCUACCUACUAUGGCUUUUUCAAAGUCAUUCCGAGAUAUAUUGCCAUGCAACUACCACCAUGAGAUGUGCCUCCACGUCUACAUUGCCACUGCAUGAUCGUAAGAUAGCUAGCAUGAUGUUUCCAUUGAUGUCUAUGCCAUGCUAGAUCAUUGUCACGGUACCCUACCGAAGGCAUUCCAUAUAGAGUCAUAGUUGCUCUAAGUUUUGAGUUGAAAGUGUGAUGAUCAUAAUUAAUGGAGCAUUGUCCCAUGUGAGGAAAUAAAAGAGGCCAAAGAAGCCCACCAAAAUAAANNNNNNNNNNNNNNNNNNNNNNACAAAGAGCCCACCAAAAAAUGAAAAAAUGAGAGAAAAAGAGAGAAGGGACAAUGCUACCACUUUUUCCACACUUGUGCAAUUUAAGCACCAUGAUCUUCAUGAUUGAGAGUCUCUCGUUUUGUCACCACCAUAUAGCUAGUGGGAAUUUUUCAUUAUAUAACUUGGCUUGUAUAUUCCAAUGAUAGGCUUCCUCAAAAUUGCCUUAGGUCUUCGUGAGCAAGCAAGUUGGAUGCACACCCACUAGUUUUCUUUAAGAGCUUUCACAUACUCUUAGCUCUAGUGCAUCAUUUGUAUGGCAAUCCCUACUCAUUCACAUUGAUAUCUAUUGAUGAGAAUCUCCACAGCUCAUUGAUAUGCCUAGUUAAUGUGACUAUCUUCUCCUGUUUGUCUUGCAACCUCCACCACACUCCACACCAUCUAUAGUGCUAUAACCAUGGCUCACGCUCAUGUAUUGCGUGAGAGUUGAAAAGGUUUGAGAAAGUAAAGGUGUGAAACAAUUACUUGGCCAAUACCGAGGUUGUGCAUGAUUUAAAUUCGUUGUGCAAUGAUGAUAGAGCAUAGCCAGACUAUAUGCUUUUGUAGGGAUAACUUUCUUUUGGCCUUGUUAUUUUGAAAGUUCAUGAUUACCUUGCUAGUUUGCUUGAAUUAUUAUUGUUUCCACGUCAAUAGCAAACUAUUGUUUUCAAUCUAAUGGAUCUGAACAUUCACGUCACAUAAGAGGAAUUACAAAGGACAUCUAUGCUAGGUAGCAUGAAAGCAUCAAAAAUUCAUUCUUUAUCACUUCCCUACUCGAGGGCGAGCAGGAGUUAAGCCUGGGGAUGCUUGAUACGUCUCAAACGUAUCUAUAAUUUUUGAUGGUUUCAUGCUGUUAUCUUGUCUUCUUUGGAUGUUUUAUGUAUCUUUUUAUAUCUUUUUGGGACUAACUUAUUAAUUCAGUGCCAAGUGCUAGUUCCUGUUUUUUCUGUGUUUUUGACUCUUUUCAGAUCUGAUUUUGGAACGGAGUCCAAACAGAAUAAAAAACCCGAAAUGAUUUUUUCCCGAAUGGAAGAAGAUCAGGCGGCCUCUGGGCCAAGCCAGGUGGGCUCCAAGGAGCCCACAAGCUCCCACUCCGCCACCAGGGGGGAGGCGGUGGUGUGAGGGCUUGUGGCCUCCCUGGCCGCCCCCUGACCUAGAUCCUUGGCCUAUAUAUUCCCAAAUAUUUAGCAAAAAUCAGGGGAGCCUCGAAAAUACUUUUCCGCCGCCGCAAACUUCCGUUUCCGCGAGAUCUCAUCUGGAGACCCUUCCCGGCGCCCUGCCGGAGGGGACUUUGGAGUUGGAGGGCUUCUUCAUCAUCAUCAUCGCCCCUCCAAUGACUUGUGAGUAGUUCACUUCAGACCUACGGGUCCGUAGUUAGUAAUCUUCUUUGGCGGUGUAAUCUUGGAUCUUCAAUACAAAGUUCUCCAUGAUCUUCAUGGAGAUCUAUCCGAUGUAAUCUUCUUUGGCGGUGUGUUUGUCGAUAUCCGAUGAAUUGUGGAUUUGUGAUCAGAUUAUCUAUGAUAUAUAUUUGAGUCUUUGCUGAUUUCUUAUAUGCAUGAUUUGAUAUCCUUGUAAGUCUCUCCGAGUCUUGGGUUUUGUUUGGCCAACUAGAUCUAUGAUUCUUGCAAUGGGAGAAGUGCUUGGUUUUGGGUUCUACCAUGUGGUGACCUUUCCCAGUGACAGUAGGGGCACCAAGGCACACAUCAAGUAGUUGCCAUCAAGGGUAACAAGAUGGGGUUUUCAUCAUUUNNNNNNNNNNNNNNNNNNNNNNNNNNNNNNNNNNNNNNNNNNNNNNNNNNNNNNNNNNNNNNNNNNNNNNNNNNNNNNNNNNNNNNNNNNNNNNNNNNNNGCCUGAGAGCUCGCUGCCGCGCCGUGCCCGCAAGGUGUUCGGCAAAACGCCUACAAGGUAUGUAUUGCUUCAAACUUAUGAAUUUGGUGCAUGUUUUGAGUGAUAGUUUUUAUAGUAUAGUAUUGAACAUUGUAGAUGAGUUCGUCCGAAGAAGAGUUUGAUAUGGAAGAGGAGGAGGAUCUUGCAAUGAUAAUAGCUAUGCAUAUCAAUAAAAAACCGAAGCACGGUGGUUCGGUUAUGGGUCGGGAGAAAAUUUGGAGAGAUAGGAUUGAUGCCCAUAACAGAUUGAUGAAGAACUAUUUCGUGGAGAAUCCCACAUACCCGGAGUCGUAUUUUCGUCACGGUUUAGGAUGAGCACAGACUUGUUCAAGCGCAUUGCAGAGAAACUAGCGAGCCAUGACCGGUUUUUCCAACAAAGGAGGAAUGCCGCCGGAGAGCUUGGUUGUGUUUAUUGCAUUAUUUGUUGUAUUGAAGGAUAAACUAUUUGUUUGAGUUGUAAGACUAUUUAUUGUUGAUUUAUUUUGUUUGUUUGAUCGUUUUUGCGCCUAUUUUUUAAAAUUUAUAUGUGGUUUGUGCGUGCUGCGCGCGCUGCAUUUUUGGGCACUGCUGAAGCGGCGCGCGCGCUGCAUUAUAGCGCGGCUGCUGGAGCCAGCGUCUAACCCCGCGCUAAACCAGCCGAAGCGCGCGCUACAAACGCAUUUUUUGAGCGCGGCGCGAAGCGCUGCUGGUGGAGAUGCUCUUACUUCAGUCAAAAUUUACUAAAACAUGAAAGCUUUGCCCCUUCAUGAGCAAACUUGCCCCCUUUAUGCGUUCAUUCUGGCUCAACGGCAUAAACCGGGUGGCGAGCAGGCGUGAUCAAAUGGAUUAUUUCUGUCUAUACCUAAAUUAUGUUCCCUCUGUAAACCAAUACAAGACAUUCUAGGUCACUACUUUAGUCGAGCAUGGUAGUUUGGUGCAGGGGGAACUUGGCUGAUGAAUGAUGGUAGGCAUGAGGGAAUAAUCACGUACUAGCUCGUAGACAACACUAACUACUUGGCAUGGCCACCUAGCUAAUUUGUCUGUCAAUUUGCUGCCGUUAGGAUUCGUUUUCCCAUGAGAACUUUCGAAUAUUUGUCGCUACACGGCUUGCCAUUGCAAAAGAAUAGUUUUGGCUUUUCGGGAUCGCGAUAGUAAAGUAGGUUCCGCAUUUAGCCUUUUUCUUCUGGAAACUUACUCUUUGAUGCAUGAACCGCCAUUGUUGACCGAGUUCCCUGGCCUGAUGUGAGAGAGAAUGACAUGGACGGUAAUUUUCAGUUGCUAGACGGUGUGCACAAAACAUACACUUCAUUCUUUUAGCAUUUUCCCAUGUGGAUGCACAUGUGAGGUGAGGUGAGGUGAGCUGAUCUGAGUAUAGAUGUCAACCAUUCCACAUAUGCAUGACCAUACAUGGUUAUCCUAGCAAGACUCGCGGCCUCCUACACUUCUCUCUCGAUCGUGUGUCCUCUAGGAGACCCUAGAAGUAACGGUGAAAAAUAUAUAGUGGGUUCGUCCACAAGAGGUCCGGCGCCUUCCUAGUUCCUUCAUCCGUGAUCUCUCUUCCUUUAGUUAACCCUCAAGGAAGGAAGCAGCUCAUCAAAGUUGCUAAAGCCAGAGUCGCCCAACUUCCAAAUCACUUUACUUGAAGGGGUAUAAAGGUGCACCUCACUCUACUCUAGCUCUACCUAUGUGUAUGGAGUAGCACUUUUCCUCUGCCUUCAUCCAACAUAGCACGCGCCUGAAGCUAUACUCAACUUUAUUGCUAUCUGUGGGUAAACAAACAAGGGCAGUUUUACAUGUGAAAAGACGCAGUAAUUUGCAAAUAAUAAUCUCCACGGAUCUUUGUGUAAAAUCCAACGAUGUAGGAGUUAGACAAGGCCUGGUUAAUUCUUAUCUGCAUGAGAAUUAACAAAUACGAUUCUGUAUUAUUGUUUGACUGCGUAUAUCACAACAAUUAUCGAUCGGUAGUCCUAAAUAAGGAGCAGGGUAAAUCUAGGCAUACCCCGGACCGGGUUUCGGGCGGGCUUAAAGCCCGAACUGAAAAUCCCAAGUCCAAGCCCCGCUAGGUACGGCCAAAAAAUCGAAUAUUCAAGCUCGAACCUGGGCCAAAUUGACUAAAAAUAUAAUUUCAGGCCAAGCCUCUAUGUAAAAUGGCUAUUUUUCCAAGCCCGAGCCCAGUCCGAAAUACAGACCAGCCCUAGUUUUCAAGCUUGAGCCCGGCCCGGCCUGGGCUUUUUGGCCGGGCUCGGGCUGGGUCAUCGAGCCGGGCUGCCCAUGCCCAGGUUUAGAGCAGAGAGUAGAGCAGGCACAUAUAAAAGCUACUCCCUCCGUUCCUAAAUAUAAGUCUUUCUAGGGGUUUCAUUAAUAGACUACAUACGAAUGUAUAUAGACAUAUUUUAAAGUAUAGAUUCAUUCAUUUUGCUUCGUAUGUAGACAUUUAGUAAAAUAUCUUAAAAGACUUAUAUUUAUGUACGGAGGGAGUAGUUUAUUGCGGGCACGAUGCCAUCAUGCGUGGAUGGAUAUGUGCAGCCAAAUAUGCAAAUAUACAUCCCUGUCUCACAUUUACAAAUCUGUCUCGCAACUGCACCGGAGCGGCAUCACAGAGGGCGCGGGUGAGCGAAAGGGACUUGCAACAGAAAGGUUUAUAGCCAGCUGCUACAGCCUACCACCCCUUGUACUACUUCCAUUCUCUCUAUCGUCUACCACUGCUACGAGCUUAACCAUAUAUAGCCACCGACCAACCCUUCCCAUGUAAGCUUACCAGAUCAUUUGGUGCCAACGCAAAGCAUCCACCAACCACCGUCCACUAGGAGUGAGUAGACAGUGGAGUAGGUAACAAGGACUCUUGAUUUCAAGUCUCAGCAAAUAAACAUAGCAUGAACAUAUCUUGCAGAAACAUCUUAUAUUAUGGGGUACGGACGGAGUAGCUUGUAGUUAAGGUACAGAUACUACCAUACUGAACUGAAUUUGCGUGGUUAAAUUCAGAAUCAUGUCAAGCCACCAUGUGUACUGCAUCCACUGGUAAAGUAACUAGCUAGCUAGUUGGUCACUCUCUCAGAUUUCAAGUAUGCGGCCGUGACGACCGCUUGGCUUUCCACACGCACAGAGACGUGCCGUGCGUGAUGAAGAAUACACACGUACGCAAAAGGACCUUUAAAGUCAAAAAAUCAUAAAGUAGACAUGCGCAGAAAUUCAUGGCAAGAGGGCCCAAGAUAUCAUAUAUGAAGAAAAGAAAAAAUACACAUAGCGGCAGCUAGCGUCACAAUCAUCACCAUGUGUAUUUCGGUGACGUGCCCGGAUUCCCAGCCAAGCGAGCGCGCGACCAAUUGAUCAACCCAGCUAAUAACGUGCAAUCAGCUCACUGAUUAGGCAGGAGACCGGCAAGUACGUACACUGAUUGAGCAGCAGGAGUUCGUAGCUAGAACGUUUUUCCAAGGGAACACUUUGAGCUAAAAGCUAACACAAGAUCCAAGGGAAAGGUCCGAGCAAGACGAUCACGCCUCGUCGAUCUCUUCUCGCCUUUAUCAGGAAAACAUGUUCGGUUACGAAACUUACGAAAACGUCUUAUAUUAUGAGACGGAGACGAAUGAACCAAGGAAAAUUAUGGCGCUUUACUUGUGAACCAAGUACUAGGAGUACAAGUUAGUCAAAUGGAGCAGUACAAGUCAAGCCUUUAGGCAUGAACUUCCUUCCUCUCUCUCUCNNNNNNNNNNNNNNNCUCCAAUAUCUCCACCGUUCUUCACGUUUACUCCAUAUAUAUGGAUGUAUCCUUUCCCCCUUUUCAAUCAAUCAAUAAAUAUUCCCUUCCACUCCAAGCUAGGCUCCAGCACCAACCAAAUUCUAAUCUAAACAACAAGAAAAGCAGUAACCGAUCGAUCGAAGCUUCAGCCAAUUUUCAUCGAUUCAUGCUUUCUUUUCUUUAACCAGUCGAGAUCGAUUCUGCCGAAAAGAACGGCAAUCGAGCCCCAAAAGGAAGAGGAAGAAACUACGUCGGGCAAAAGAAAAAAAGAGAAGACGGAUGAGAUUCAGGAAGCUAUCCAAAACCAAAAGCAAUGAAUUUCUUGUCUGGACAAGUGGACAUGCAUGCACAUGGUUGAUCGAUGGAGCUCGAGCCGAACCGGAUCGAUCAGAUGUCGACGGCGCAGGCGGCGGCCUGCUGGAAGCGGAAGUAGUCGGGGCCGCCGCCGGUUGUGGCGCCGUAGCUGCCCUUUCCCUCGUUCACCCUGAUGAGGGCCGGGCAGUUGACCCGGAGGUGGUAGUGGCCGGAGAUCCACGUGCCCACCUUCCACCGCACCCAGCCGUCGACGCGCACGUCCACCAGCACGUACCCGGCCGUCUCGUCCUGCGCGAGCGCGAUGGCGAGCUGCGGCGGGAGCACGACGCUGUCCAUGGAUCGGAGGUAGGGCGACCACACCGACUGGUCCCGGUGGCCCUGGUAGGCGACGGGGAGGCGGGUGGGCACGGGGAUGGCCCCGCCCCUGUACUGCGCGGACAUUUCCGUCUCGUCGGAGUAGACGCCGACGCGGGCGUUGGUGUUGCGCGCCGCCACCGUGGCCUGCAUGGUGGUGAAGAGGUAGGCGGAGGUGGGCGGGGUGACGUUGAGGCAGAGCACCGCCAGGUCCUGCAGGUAGAAGGUGGGCUUGUGGGGGCGGAGCACCAGGUAGACGAUGAGGAUGAUGAAGAGGGCGAGGAGGACGAGGGCGAGCAGCGCGCCGCAGCACUUGCGGUAGAGCCGGCGGCGGUGGCACUCGCAGCCGCCCUUGUGCCCGCCGCAGUCCUUCACCGCCAUGGAUUAUGGAUAUGGAUGGUGGUCGNUGUAAUGGAUGGAUGGGUGCUGCAGCAAGAUGGAAGCAGGAAGCAGCUAGCAGCGAUGAAGCGAGGUGUGAGGCUGUGAUCGAUCUGUGGGAUGGGAGGAAGGUGGAGAAGAAAAGGCAGUUGGGCACGAGGUGGUAUAUAUACAUCUACCACGGCAGCGGCAGGAGGAAUUGGUGAUUGGUGUGGGGUUAGGAGGAGGAGGGGAUCAGCAUUGGUCAGUGUGAGGAGGAGUACUGACAAGUUGGGUGUUGUCGGCUUGGAGCAGCUGGUACAUACAACCUGCAAGUGGGCCUUGGUGAGCAGUCUCUUGCUGAAGAAGCACUGUUAAUUAGAAGUAGUGGAAUUGUAAGCCUGAUAAAACAUAAAUGAGAGGUGGUUAAUGGUGAUGAAAAAUGGAGCAGUGUGGGUGAGACGGCGAGUGCCAUGCUAGGUUCCGAAAGCAGCAAUGAAUAAUAGGCCGGGUUCAGACAGGGGAUCGAGUCAUCGAGAUGAGAAACGAAAAGAUGACACUUUUCUUUUCUAGUGAUGAUUAAUAGGCCGGGUUCAGACAGGGGACGCCUUUAGUUCCUCACAUAGUAUGUUACAAACAAAACUUUAUCAGUUCAGAUGCACCGCCAGUCGCUUGUAAACGCGUUUUGUGUCAGUCGCGUGAAAACAGCCGGAGGGAAGAAGAAGCUCGUCGGAGAAAGCCCUCUAGGUGUCUUAAGAUGGCAGGCACCUCCGUUGUCUAUCUUAAGGGUGCGGGGUGCAUGAUGCAAGCUCGUUGAAAAAUAAAAUGACCAUCGUCGAGGCGAGAGGGAUGGUCGGGGUGGCGGCAGCACGUACGACGGUGAGAGGCGGUUGAGGGGCUGGCGCAGGAGCCGAGCGCCCCAACUGCGGGUAGUGGUGGGUGGAGGGUGGGGCGUCCACAUCAAUCAAAUGGGAUGAAGCCAACACAAUCCCAACGGAAAGCUAAAGUGCAAGAAUAACAAGGAGGAGGAGAAGAAGAAUCGUAGCACGAACACGGGUCCGCGUCACCUUCGUUCCGUGUGCACGCAGCUGCAGCCAGCCAGCCCCACUCUCUUCUCCAUCUUCAUCACAAGAAAAAAAUGCGACGUACGCAACGCGGCACAGCACAUGCAUAGCAUGGUCCGAUCGAUCGAGCUACACCACCAUGGUCCACGGCGCAUAUCGUCAGUACCACGUACCACGACGCGUCUAGCCUAGGAUAUGUUGCCAGAUCUGUCCUACGAGUUAAUUCCUCGUGUCGGACUAUUUCUAAUCUGAUACUCCUGCGUUAAGCUUAUAAAGAUUCCACUAACAGAUUACGUACGAAGCAAAAUAAAUGAAUCUAUAUUUUAAUAUAUGAUUAUGUACAUCCGUAUGUAAUUUGCUAAUGAAAACUUUAAAAGAAUUAUAUUUACAAACGGGUGAAGUAGAUCGAUCGAUCGUCCUAGUAGUACGAUUAGGAUAUAUCAACAUCAGUUCAUAAUCACCAUGCAAAUUUAUUUCCAAUCGUAUAUCACCGUGGUGAGAAAGCGGAGCAACAUACAGUAGUAUCGUUCAGAGCCGGCCGCGAGUUAUACUUAUUCCAUCUCUUCAUAUGCAUGCAUGUGCGAUCAUCAAAACAAUCGAGAGGAGGAGGACGACGACGAUACGCUAUAUAUGUAGGUACGUACGUCCGUCAGCCGAAUUCACGGACCAGAUCCAUUGGAAGGACGCGCAAAAGGUGUGGGGGUGGAGGGACGCGGUCACACGGAAUCGGAAGCUUCUCCUCCNNNNNNNNNNNNNNNNNNNNNNNNNNNNNNNNNNNNNNNNNNNNNNNNNNNNNNNNNNNNNNNNNNNNNNNNNNNNNNNNNNNNNNNNNNNNNNNNNNNNCUGGAAAGAUCCGGAUGAUCCGAGACUCGAUCCGGAUGAUCCGGGCUUUGUCCGGAUGAUCCGGCUAGACUAGAGGUGUUUUGUUACAUUCGGUUAGUAUUUGUCCGGAUGAUCCGGUCUUUGUCCGGAUGAUCCGCGACCUGGUCUGAAUGAGCUAGCUAUGUGCCAGAAUUUAGAACAAAGGUCGUCUAGGUUAUAGCUUAGAGUUUUCCUAGGGAUAUUUGGUCUUUGUGGACCAGUUAGUGAGACAAUAGAUGCAGGAAAUGAUGACCAACUGAUGAUACUUUGAGCGAAUCUUGAACAUAACCUUUGGAUCCCUCUUAUUAGUGCGGGAUCCCUAUUACCCAAGAAAUAUGUAAAAGAACCAAAACAUUUCUUUUCUGCUUGUUUCAUAUCUCAUAUGAUGUGUCCAUGAUCUCACAUAGUGAUGCAAGGGGAACUAAUAACCUGUGUAUAUACUCAGCAAACAUAAUUAGUCCCCUGUAUGUAUUUUCUCAUCAACAUCAAAAUAAUCUUAAGGGCGGGAUUGCACUUCCAAUCUCCCCCCUUUUUGGUAGUUGAUGACAAAAUACAUAUAGCUCAACAACACAAGAUAUAUGUUUGUAUAUUUUAGAAGUGUGGUUCACUAUGAGUUGAAGGAGAGCUCUCCUUCAAUAUGUGCAGAAAAUAAAUAGUGAGAUGAGAGAAUGAUGCACACAUAGAGUGGAUUUCCUUAGUCAUAAUUAAACAAAUCCAAGCAUAAGCAUCGAAUGAAAUGACAAUAGAUGCAUACUUAAAACCUUACAAAGUGGCGAACGACAGGUACCAUAGGUCCAUUGCACAUAGGUUUAAUACAUCAUGAAGACAUACAUAUUAAAAAGUACCACGACUAACAUAACCACACAACUUAAGAUAUACAUCUCCCCCUUGGCAACAGGUACCGACAAGGGAAAUGACAGAAGGACUAUAGUGGAUCACUGAGCAUCACCAGGGGGGGGGCCAUCACCAUCACUUGAGUCAACAUUGUUUAAAAGAAACUCCAGAAAAUAUGAUUCAGACGGGAAACCGACAACUAAAACAGGAAACGGCUCAGGAAGAGGCUCAUCAGGCUCAACAAGGCUCCCAGGGUGCGCACGAAGGUGAGCCCUAAGUGCGUUUGCCUCAGAGAUGCGACAAACCUCCGCGGUGGCAAUGUGAGAGACGGUGAAGUGGCAUGUGUCAAAGAUCUUUUAUGAGACUUCCCAAUAAAUCUACUCAGGCGAUCAAAAGGCUUCAUAAAGGGUCUAGUGAAGCGAGUAAUUAUCUCCACACUUGGAGGAACAUGAGCCUUUCCUCUGAGAGAGUCAUUCCACGGAGUCCACAUGGUGUGAAUGGACGUCUUAGCAAUGGGAGAUUGAUAAAUAGAGUCAAUGACUGUCUGAAUGAAGGGAGUAUGAGGAAGGGUCCAAAGCUUAUGGAGGCAAGCCAGGCGAAUCUCGUUCCACAGAAAGUCGGCCAUGUCAAUGGGACAGUUGGGAGCUUUUCGAGAAUAGUACAUUAAGUCAAUGAUGUAGGCCUGAACCAUUCCACGACCCCUUUUCUUGGGAGCAAUGGAGUUAAGGACACACUGGAAAAACCACCGGUAUUUGGAAUGUAAGAGAGGGAUAUCAUUUAGUUCCUUCCCUUUCUGCAUCGUGGUCAUUUGAUAAGGGGGGUUGACAAUACAACCACACACACUAAUGGGCAUGGCUUCAAACUUUGAAUUGACCGCAUGUAUCCUAAAGAGGUUAGCGUCAGAGCCAAUCAUCCCCAAAGCACCAACAAACUCCUCGAAGGUGACAGUAAACAGAGAGUGAUGAGUCAUCCAAGUGAUGGAGCGAUCCGGAUGGAAGAAACAUGUGGCAUAGAAUUGGCGAAUGGCAGCCUCAUUCCAAUCACAAUGAAGAGUCAUGGCUUGACGCAGCCCCAUGCUAUCAAUCUUCUCCAGAACACCUUAAAACCUCACAAAGUUUGCCUCGAUGAAUGCCAGGUCCACAUGGUGUUGGGGAGAGAACCCAAGGGGAGCAAUUACGGAUUGAUAGAUGUCUUGCCGAGUCAAUGUACGAAAACAAGGAUCGGUGGCAUUUUUAGGAGCAGUAAAUUGAUUGACCUCACUCCUUAAUGCAGAGUAAUGGGAGGGCUCAAAGGAGCGAAAAUCAAUGGGACAGUGACCAUGCUUCGAGGGGGUGGCCAUGGACAGAACCAAACCCGCAGUGGGACCACACUGAGAACUUGAGCUAGUGGAUGCUAUCUUCCUCUUUAAUUUUGUCUUGGAACGAUCACACACAAGUUCCUCGUCCUGGAUAUCAGGCACAAAAUCGGGGUCAUCAAGCCCCACAUAGGAAGGACGUGCACGACCCAACGCCUUCUUGAGAGGACGAGCAGAAUCUUCGGAGUCCGUUGAGCCCGAAGGACCCGCAGCUGCAAUUACGAAUAGUACAAGGCCAUACUAUGAAUACGAGACCCUAGACGUACAAGCGAUUGCAAGGAAUCGAAAAUUAAUGGAAAAGGAAGAAGUAGUACCACGAGAGGGGCCCGUGGUCGUCUUCUUGACAUGCCCGCCACCUCCACUGCCUCCGACCACUAUGGCUGCUCCCCGGAGCAGAGGAGCGAGGUAGUAGGAGAGGGAGGGAACACACGGAGAGACUACGACACCACAGAGAUCGGGGGAAGGAGAGAUCCGAGCACGGAGCAAAGGGGCGGCCGGGCUGGCUGUAGCGGCCAUGGAGGACCACCAGUGGCGCAUGAGCCGUCGAGACGAGGGUGAGAUGUGGAAGAAAGAAGAUAGAUGGAUAACCUGCUGUCCCUCCCCUGUUAUCUUCUUUUCAGUUGCCAACGUGGGCUGACCCGGAUGUAUCGAAGACGCCCUGGAUGUUCGGAACUAGUCCCGUAUAUCUGGGCAAGGCAUGUUGGGGAGGAGCAGGCUAUGACAGUUCUAGUCACCUUGGAUGGAUAGCAAUGGAAAUAAAUGAGUUAUCCUAGGAGAGUAAGUGAGAGUUAACAGCAUGUCUUGGCAUGGGCAUGAUGAAUUUCAGCAUAUAUAUCAUUACAAAUAGGACUAAAACAAUCAAUGAUGUCUUCAAAUGAGAUAACUUUCUAAGAUUUCUCGUAAGAGGGGUGGCAUGACCACCAUGUUUGAGCUAAGGUGGCAUGAGCCGACGAGGAUAUGAACCUUGACCCAUUGCCACCACUCCAUCAUUUAAAGUACCAAGUCACAAAUUGAUCAGUAACUUUGAGAGUGUUUGGUUGAUUUAUGCAUCAGAUAGGGUGAGAGAACUCAUGAACUGAGUGUCUCCCACUAGAUAAAUGCAUACAUCUAGAUAGGACAUGACAUAACUCUAUGCAUGUGUGCAAAAUUUCACAUGAUGUUGUCAAGUUCCAAGAUACCAAGUUCACACCUAUGUUGACAGAACCUACGUUCAUCUAGUGUGGUUUGGUGAAAAUAUCAGCAAGUUGCAUAACCGUACCAACAUGAGCAAUGUCAAUAUCACCCUUUUGCAUAUGGUAUCUUAAGAAGUGAUAUCGGAUGUCAAUGUGCUUGGUGUGAGAGUGAUCACUAGGGUUUUCAGCAAUCUUGAUGGCACUUUCAUUGUCGCAUAGUAGAGGCACAUGUGCGUAGGUCCAUAGUCCUUCAAAGUUUGCCUCAUCCAUAGCAAUUGUGUUGGACAACUUGCAGUUGCAAUAUAUUCGGCUUCAGCAGUGGGCAGGGAGACACAAUUUUGCUUCUUCGAGGACCAAUUUACCAAGAAGCGUCGAAGAAACUGACAUGUCCCGAAGGUGGACUUUCUGCCCACCUUAUCUCCGGCCCAAUCUGCAUCUGUGUACCCAAUAAGAUCAAACUUGGCAUCGUUGGGGUACCAUAGAACCAACCUUGGGGUGUGAACAAGGUAUCUGAGAAUAUGCUUAACAACCUUAUAAUGGCUUUCCUUAGGGGAAACUUAAAAUCGAGCACAAAUGCCUACACUUGACGUGAUGUCUGGCCUAGAUGCACAAAGGUAAAGCAAUGAUCCAAUAAUAGAGUGGUAAAUAGAUUGGUCAAAUGGAAUACCUUUUGUGUCUUCGUUAAGAGCAGUUGUGGUUGGCAUGGGUACCUUGCAUGGACUCGCGUUUGUCAUGCCGAACUUCACAAGAAUAUCCUUUAGAUGCUUAGUUUGAGACUGAAAAAUUCCUUCCCUACAUUGUUGGAUUUGAAAACCGAGAAAGAUCUUCAAAUCCGCAUUCAGUGACAUCUCAAAGUUCUUUGUCAUGGAAUACGCCAACUUCUUGCAUAAAUGGAUGUUAGGGGAACCAAAAAUGAUAUCAUCUACGUAAAUUUUACACAAGAUAAAAUCACCUUUUCCCCUCUUAGUGAAGAUUGUAGGGUCAAUCACCCCUCUCACAAAACCAUCAUCGAGUAGAAACUUCUUAAGAUGAUCAUACCAAGUGUAAGUGCAUUUAGUGCCCUUAGUGUUUUUGGUGGUUUGAAAACUUAUAGGUUAAGUAACUAAUGUGUUUAUAAGUGUACACGGGCUCUAUAAGUCGCUGAGGAGUUUUAGUUAUACGAUGAAUAUCGACUAUUGGGGAGUGUUGCAUGGGAAACAAAAAAAUUCCUACGCACACGAAGACCUAUCAUGGUGAUGAUCAUCUAUGAGAGGGAGAUCGGAUCCACAUACCCUUGUAUAUUGCUAAGCGUAAGCGUUAAUAAACGUGGUUGAUGUAGUGGUACGUCUUCACGAUCCGUCCCGUGAACCGUCCCACGAACCGUCUCACGAUCCGUCCCGAUCAAGUGCCGAACGGACGAGACCUCCGCAUUCCGCACACAUACAACUCAAUGACGAUCUCCGCCUUCUUGAUCCAACAAGAGGGACCGGAGAGGUAGAUGAGUUCUCCAGCACGGCGGCGUGGUGGUGGUGCUAUUCCAGCAGGGCUUCGCCUAAGCACCGCUGAAACUAGAGGAGAAAUAGAUCUAGAGAGAGAGGGCAACACGUGGCUGUUUUCUGUUGUGCCUAAAACCCUCAAAACCCUUAGUAUAUAUAGGAGGAGAGGAGGGAGAGGGUUGCGCCCUAGGGCUGCCUCUUUGAUCCCUUGCGCAAGGGAGAGGAGGAGGAGUCCUACUCCAAUCCUAUUUCGAGUAGGAUUCCUCCUUCUCACUUGGAAACUCUUUCCACCUUGUUUUUUUACUUCUCAAACCUUAUGGGCCUUAGUGGGAACUUAUUCCAGCCCACUAGGGGCUGGUUUAUCUCUUCCCACAGCCCAUGAGGCCCCUUGGGGCGUGACACCCCUCCCGAUGGUCCCCGGCACCCCUCCCGGCACUCCCGGUACACUAUCGAUGAGCCCAAAGCUUUUCCGGUGAACAAAACAGGACUUCCUAUAUAUCAAUCUUCGUUUCCGGACCAUUCUGGAAACCCUCUUGAUGUCCGGGAUCUCAUCCGGGACUCCGAAAAACCUUAGGUCACCAACACAUAUAACUCAACUAUAUCGAAACGUCACGGAACCUUAAGUGUGCACACCCUGCGGGUUCGAGAACUAUGCAGACAUGACCUGAGACACUCCCCGGUCAAUAACCAAUAGCGGGACCUGGAUGUCCAUAUUGGCUCCUACAUAUUCUACGAAGAUCUCUAUCGGUUGAACCUCUAUGCCAAGGAUUCAUAUAAUCCCGUAUACCAUUCCCUUUGUCCUUCGGUAUGAUACUUGCCCGAGAUUCGAUCGUCGGUAUCUCCAUACCUAGUUCAAUCUCGCUACCGACAAGUCUCUUUACUCAUUACAUAAUACAAGAUCCCGUAACUAAUUCCUUAGUCACAUUUCUUGCAAGGCUUGUUGUCAUGUUGUAUUACUGAGUGGGCCCCGAGAUACCUCUCCGUCACACGGAGUGACAAAUCCCAGUCUUGAUCCAUGCCAACCCAACAGACACCUUUGGAGAUACCUGUAGAGCACCUUUAUAGUCACCCAGUUACGUUGCGACGUUUGAUAACCCACAAGGUAUUCCUCCGGUGUCCUGGAGUUGCAUGAUUUCAUGGUCAUAGGAACAGAUACAUUGACAUGCAGAAAACAGUAGCAAUAAACUGACACAAUCAUAUACUACGUUUAUAGUUUGGGUCUUGUCCAUCACAUCAUUCUCCCAAUGAUGUGAUACUGUUAUCAAGUGACAACACUUGCCUAUGGUCAAGAAACCUUGACCAUCUUUGAGCAACGAACUAGUCAACUAGAGGCUCACUAGGGACAGUGUGUUGUCUAUGUAUCCACACAUGUAUUUGAUUUUCCAAUCAAUACAAUUCUAACAUGGAUAAUAAACGAUCAUUAUGAAUAAGGAAAUAUAAUAAUAACUAAUUUAUUAUUGCCUCUAGGGCAUAUUUCCAAAAGUCUCCCACUUUCACUAGAGUCAAUAAUCUAGUUCACAUCACUAUGUGAUUGUAAUGAAUCUAACACCCAUACAGUUCUGGGGUUCGAUCAUGUCUUGCUUGUGAGAGAGGUUUUAGUCAACGGUUCUGAACCUUUCAGAUUCGUGUGUGCUUUACAAAUCUUUAUGUCAUCCUAUAGAUGCUGCUACUACGUGUUAUUUGGAAAUAUUCCAAAUGACUACUCUACUAUACGAAUCCGGUUUAUUACUCAGAGUUAUUCGGAUUAGUGUCAAAUCUUGCAUAGACAUAACCCUUUACGACGAACUCUUUAAUCACCUCCAUAAUCGAGAAAAAUUCCUUUGUCCAUUAGUUACUAAGGAUAGCUUUGACCGCUGUUCAGUGAUUCAAUCCUGGAUCACCCUUUGUACCCCUUGACAGACUUAUGGUAAGGCACACAUCAGGUGCGGUACACAACAUGGCAUACUUUAGAGACUAUGGCUAAGGCAUAGGGGACGACCUUCAUCCUUUCUCUUUCUUCUUCCAUGGUCGGGGUUUGAGUCUAACUCAAAUUCACACCUUACAACACAGCCAAGAACUCCUUCUUUGCUGAUCUAUUUUGAACUCCUUCAAAAACUUGUCAAUGCAUGCAUUUCAUUGAAAGUUCUAUUUAGCGUUUUGAUCUAUCUCUAUAGAUCUUGAUGCUCAAUAUUCAAGUAUCUCUAUCGAGGUUUUCCUUUAAAAAACUCCUUUCAAACAACCCUUAAUGCUUUCUAGAAAUUCUACAUUACUUCCGAUCAACAAUAUGUCAACCACAUAUACUUAUCAGAAAUUCUAUAGUGCUCCCACUCACUUCUUUGGAAACACAAGUUUCUCAUAAACCUUGUAUAAACCCAAAAGCUUUGAUCAUCUCAUCAAAGCGUAUAUUGCAACUCUAAGAUGCUUGCACCAGUCCAUAGAAGGAUCGCUGGAGCUUGCAUACUUGUUAGCAUCCUUAGGAUCCACAAAACCUUCUGGUUGUAUCACAUACAACCUUUCCUCUAGGAAACCGUCGAGGAAACAAUGUUUUGACAUCCUAUGUGCAAUAUUUCAUAAAUAAUGCAGCAACUGCUAACAUAAUUCCAACAGACUUUUAGCAUCGCUACGAGUGAGAAAGUCUCAUCAUAGUCAACUCUUUGAACUUAUCGGAAACAUCUUUGCGAUAAGUCGAGCUUUUCUUAAUGGUGAAUUUUCACCAUCAUCGUCUGUCUUCCUUUUAAAGAUCCAUAUGUACUUAAUAGUCUUACGACCAUCAAGUAGUUCUUCCAAAGUCCACACUUUGUUUUAUACACGGAUCCUCUCUCGGAUUUCAUGGCCUCCAGCCAUUUGUCGGAAUCCGGCCCACCAUCGCUUCUCCAUAGCUCGUAGGUUCAUUGUUGUUCAACAACAUGACCUCCAAGACAGGGUUACCGUACCACUCUGUAGUAGUACGCGACCUUGUCGACCUACGAGGUUUGUAGUAACUUGAUCCAAAGCUUAAUGAUCACCAUCAUCAGUUUCCACUUCAAUUGGUGUAGGCGCCACACGAACAACUUUCCGCGCCCUGCUACACACUGGUUGAAGUGACGGUUCAAUAACCUCAUCAAGUUCCACCACCCUCCCACUCAAUUCUUUCGAGAGAAACCUUUCCUCAAGAAAGGACCCGUUAUCAAGUGACAACACUUGCCUAUGGUCAAGAAACCUUGACCAUCUUUGAUCAACGAACUAGUCAACUAGAGGAUUACUAGGGACAGUGUGUUGUCUAUGUAUCCACACAUGUAUUUGAGUUUCCAAUCUAUACAAUUCUAGCAUGGAUAAUAAACGAUUAUUAUGAACAAGGAAAUAUAAUAAUAACUAAUUUAUUAUUGCCUCUAGGGCAUAUUUCCCACAUCGACACCUACAAAUGUAUGUCUUCGGCUGAAGAAAUUGGUCUUAUGUUGAAGACUUUAAUCGCGAAGAAAUUGCGAUGAAAUUGAUAUCCCUCAUGAAGAAAUUGAAGAUGAGGAAUUCGGUGUGUCCUAAAGAAAAACUGCAUGAAGACUUCGAAGCAUGAAUACUUGCUCUUUCUGCUUUGUUUUCUUUAUUGUUGAGUCUUAGGAACACCGUACUGUUAAAGGAGGUCGAGGUAAUACUACGGAAUGAAUUUCCUCAUGAUGCUCAACCCAAGCCUAAACCUACAAAAGCCUCAAGUGAGGAAUAUAAGAGACAUGAGGACUUUCAUAUUUGAAAGUUCCGACCGUUGCCGUGAUACGCGUCACAUCAUCGAUCUUAUCCACACCAACGAUCACAAUAUUUAGGGGCAUUUAUGUCAAAUCAUGUCGGGAUGCUCCUAGACUAUAAAUAGUCACCCCCACAACCACUAGCUCGUUGGCUGCUCCGCAAGAAACUAACACUUGUCAUUUAGAGAAACCCAAAUUCUUAGAGUCUUCGAGAGUAAAUCAUCAGUGAGGAAAUACCCGAAACACCAAACCACAAACCAAAACCAAGUGAUUGAGCAUCACUGAAGAAUUUGUUCCUGUGUGGAACUGAAGCCUUUUACCUUUGAGGAUUGUGCAUUCUCUAGACGGUUAGGCGUCAUGGUCUAGAGCAUCCAGCAGUCAAUUGUGGAUCGUCGGGUGACCGAGUUUGUGAGGGUUUGGAUGUGUGCCGUGAAGACUUACCACGAGUGUUGGGCGAGGACUGUGUGUUCUUAUCUCAAGGAGAAUACGGUAGGGAAUGUGUGUCCCGGGACUGUGUGUCCUUUGGUUUCAAUACCAAGCCACUCCAAACCAGACGUACGACUGUCACAGCAGUUGGAACUGGGUCAUCAACAACCGUCUUCAUUGUGAUACAGAUUCUAUUUCUUCAACUCUUUCAAUUCGUCAAUAUUGUACGUUGAAGACUUUCAUUGUCACUGUUUGAAGAAUUUGCUGAAGACUUCAACUGAAUUUCCUCAACCUCAAAUUCUUCAUACCUGUUAAUCUUCACCUGCUUAUUCUAUGCGUGCAUACUAUGCAAACCGAUUCUCAUAAUCUUCAUCAAGUAAACUGCUGUUGUAAUCUUUGCACCUGUGAUCCUACGCUAUUUCCGCUGCACGUUAUUCAUCAGUGAGGAAUUUCCUCAGCGAUGAAAUUCUAAAAAAUCGCCCAUUCACCCCCUCUAGUCGAUAUAACGCACUUUCAAUUGGUAUCAGAGCAAGGUACUCCCUUGUUCUGUGUGAUUUUGGUUUGACCACUUGGAGUUUUAGUUAUGUCGACUGCGGGUAUGAUCAAGGUUACUGCAUGAUGUCCUACCUUCGAAGGGAAGGACUUCCCCUACUGGAAGACCAAGAUGCAGAUGCAUCUUCAUGCUAUUGACAACGAUCUCUGGUACAUUGUGGAACAUGACGUUCCCUCCAUCGCUGCUACUGUCUCUACCGCUGAUGUGAAGAAAUUCAAGCAACUUGAUUCUCAAGUGAAGAAUAUCAUGUGUGCCAUGUGAGCAAAGGUCAGUAUGGCAGAGUGAGUGCUUUGGGCAUAGGAAGCUUAUUUAGGAUAGGUUGUCCAAAGUCAAUGAAGUAAUUUGAACUUAGCGUGACUCUCGUGUUGAUGUUCUUCGCAAUCUCUUGAAUCGCUUCAAGAGGCUUGACAAUGAAAGCUUCCAAGAUAUAUUUGAUUGCCUCACUGACAUCUCAAAUGAACUGCAAGCACUGGGAGCUCGAGACAUCACUAACCAUGAAGUUGUGAAGAAACUGCUAAGAUCUCUGGAUCCAUCAUUUGAUACACUGGUUGUGAUGAUUCAAGAAAGAGCAGACUAUAAGAUGCUUGAUCCUGCUGAUAUACUCGAAAGACUCAAUACACAUGAAUUCCAACAAGAAGAAAAGAGAGAUAUGUAUGGACCAAGCUACUCUAGACCUCGUGCGCUGAAGGGCAAAGCAAUUUCCCCAUCUGAGGAAGAAGACUCAGAUUGCAGCAUUGGUGAUUCCGAAGAACUUGGACAGGAGCUUGCAAUGCUCGUGAGGAAAUUCCAGAAGUUUACAAGGCGUGACCAGCUUGGUAAAUCUUCAAGAAGAGAUAUGAGGAAAUCAGAAUCUUUAUCUGAGGACUACAAGAAAAGAACCUGCCACAAAUGCAAGAAAUCUGGUCACUAUAUUGCUGAUUGUCCUCACUGGGUGAAGGAAUCAAAGAAGAAGAAAUACAAGGAUGAAAGUUCUGAUGACUCGAAGAAAAAGAAGAAAUCUUCAAAAUCCUCAUCCUCAAAGUCCUCAUCGCACAAGAAUCUGAGGAAUGUGAUGAAGAGGAAGGUUCUGAAGAAGACUCAGAGUUUGGUGUGGUAAGUCUUGCACUGGCUACCACAUUCGUCAGCAAGUCAAUCUUCAACCUUGAAGAAAACGACAACACUAUCUACACUGAUGACUAUGCUGAUGACUUCGCUCCAACCUAUUGCUUCAUGGCAAAAGAUUCAAAGGUACAGAAUGACACUUCCUCCUCUGAUUCAAGUGACUGUGAACCUGAUGGUUAUAAAAAACCCAGUUACAGUAAACUUGCCAACAUUGUAACUAAACAAGAAAGUGCCAUUGAAAAGCUUCAAAAACUGCUAGACAGAAGCGAUGACCUAUUUAAUGAUGAAAUGAAUCAUACUCAAAUCCUCACCGAAGAUGUGAAAAGUCUUCAGUCCAGAUUUGAUAGUCUUCAAGAUCGUUAUGGCACACUCUUGGCUGAUCAUGAGAAACUUUCCUAUGAAUUUCUUCAAAGGAAACUUGAUCUUGAGAAGUUGAAGAUGUCUCAUGAUGAUCUUCGAAUGGAAAACGAUUCAUUACUUGCUCAACAGAUCAGUGCCGCUCAAGUUGAAUUCACUCCAUCAUGUCUAAAAUGCAUCGAGCGUGAAACUGCCAAUUCUUCACCAGAAUCAUCAAAUGCUUCUAUUGCUACAAAUUCUUCAACUGCUCAUUUGGUAACGAAUUCCUCACUUGAGGAAACCAUAAAUGUUACUGAUGAAAAUGCAGGACUGAAGGAAUUGUAUGUGACAGGCAUGUACAAAAGUCUCAAAUGGCAUCAAACCCUUUGCAAUGUGCUCAAAAAGAAGAUUUUGAACAGGAACCCGAGGAAAGAAGGAAUUGCCUUUGAAAGGAAACUGAAUGCUGAUGGAUCAUACUGGAAACCUGAGCAUUACCCCAAAACCUCAUGGGUUGCUGCUAAAGGUCCUCCUGUUGAUCCAUCCAAUCUAACAGGCUUUGCAUGUGAAUUAUCCUAUUACUCAGAUGAGUCAUUUGACUCCAACUAUAAACUAUUCAAAAAUCAAUCUGGUGAAGUAUUUGCUCGAUAUGUUGGAACUAACUAUAGGAAUGGACCACCCCUGGGGAACAUCGGGGUCCCCAAAAGUUGCUUGGAAAAUCUUCAGGUGAAUGUCCUCAUGACACCACCAGUGAAGAACCUGAACUCCGGAUCAAAUUCUUCAGGUGGACCAAAGUCUUCAAGAGGAUCAAAAUCCUCAACUGGUCAAAACUAUACUCAUACUCGUGCUAAUGCUUAUGAUAUGCAAGGAAAUUACAAGGAAUAUAAAUAUGAGCAUUAUACCUCAAAUCAUUAUGUUCAUAAAUCCUUAAAGAACUUCUCUGCCUAUUCAUCUAAGUACUCUAACCCCCUACUGUGAAGAGAAGUGCAUUAGCUUUAAUGCCCCCUUUCUCAUAUGGUGCUCGCAGGAUGAUGAACUUUUUGCCACCCCUUCAGAUGUGGGUGGUGAAGAACUUGAACUAAUCACUUCUGCAAGUCAGGUCUCCAGAUGAAAACCAUCUUCUGAAGAUUUUGCUCGAGACCUAAGGAAAAUGCUUGAGUGGACGCAAGCUAGAAUUAAUGAAAUGAUAGCAUUUCACACGUCCUCAAAUUUACUGUUUAUGAUGAAAUUCCUAUCUGAUGAAACUGAUAUCAUAUUCUUCAAGUCUGAAGCAUAUGAGAUGGUAAGCUGUACUAAUUCAUCUGCAGGAUGACAAACCCAAGAGUACUGAGUGGGUUCUUGACAGUGGUUGCACAAAUCGCAUGAUUGGUGAUAAAAGCUUGCUGAUGAAUAUGCCACUGACUCCAUCACCACUGAAUGAAAUCACUUAUGCUAACAAAGGUAAAAGCAAGGUAUUGGGACUUGGCAAAGUGGCUAUUUCCAAGGAGAGGCACAUGGACAAAGUGAUGCUUGUCGAAUCCCUUGGGUUUAACCUCAUGUCAGUCUCAAUGCUUUGUGAUCUUGAUAUGGUUGUUAUCUUUGGAUAAUAUAGAUGUGUGGUCAUCAUGGAAUCUGACAGAUCCAAAGUCUUCGAAGGCUUUAGGAGAGGAGAUUUGUACAUUGUUGAUUUUUCCACAGGUCCUCAACCAGCCACAUGCUUAUUAGCAAAAACCUCAGAAGGCUGGCUAUGGCAUCGAUGACUUGGUCAGGCAGACAUGAGGAAUUUGCAUACGCUCGCGAAGAAAAAGCAUGUCAUUGGCAUCGAAUCGGUUAAAUUCCUUAAGGACCAUCUCUGCGGUGCUUGUGAGUCUGAAAAAAUGACCAGAUCCAAACACCCCUCGAAGACUAUCAUGACUACUACUCGUCCGUUUGAAUUACUUCACAUGGAUCUAUUUGGACCUACUCAUUAUGCUACUCUAACCAAUGCAACAUCCUUACAUGGCUUUGUCAUCGUUGAUGACUAUUCUCGAUAUACUUGGGUACAUAUCAUUCUGUCUAAAACUGAAGUGCUGGAAGUCUUCAAACAAUUUUCCUCAAGGGCGUCGACG